rnacentral:lncRNA from 1 species
UGUCUUUUGUUUCUUUCUUGUAAAAAUAUAAUGUACAGCCUUCUUACUCGCUACCAAGUCUUGGGUAGUGCAUAGCACAUUGCAAUAUCACCACUAUCCUUGGGGGCAGGUUUGUGUUUGAGGGUCUGAGCAACCCAUAUUCACCUACAGGAUCUUGGUGCCAAACCUGAACUCAACCCAUUUACAAUUGGGGUAGUCGCAUUGAACCAAAUUCAAGCUGAUUGUAAAAGACUCUUCACCCAAAUUCCUUUUGUUUUAGGCAGGUUCAGGCAGGUUUGUGGGUCUGGGUUAGAAAUUGCCAAUUCAUAUCCCACAAGCCGUUGCUGUGUUUUUUGGGUGAUGAGGAUCAAAUCCAGCUAAUCAAAAGAUAUUUCCUUAUUUAGUUGGAAUCAUUUAUGUGCGCCAUGCAAUGACUAUCCUGGAACUGGUGAUUAGCAGUCAUAAGUAAAAAAUUCACAGUCAAAUGGUCUAAUCUUAUGGCACUUAAAUGCUUGUUUCUUUAUGUUGGAAACCCAUGUUUAUCAUCUACCCGUUUAGUGUAGACUUGAAGAAAAGUCUAACCUUUUUUUUGUCCAUUCAUACUCUGAUCUAUAAACAGAAUUUUACUUUAUUGUAAAUCAGAUCUUCAGAUAUAUUUCUGAUUAUUCUUCCUUUUUAUGCUGUCUACUUCUCAAUGCUUGGAUUUUAGAUAGUUGGGUAGAGAACUUUGAUCCAUUUAGUUGGUUAAUUUUGACUUAGAAGGAUUGAAGAGAUUGCUAGUUGCGUGAGUCGGACUACUCAUCUUUUCGUAAAUCAUAUGCUUCUUUUGCUAAGAACAAUUGACAAUAAUGGAAACCAAAUGAUUCUUUAUCCCAUUUUAUUUCUUUAUUGGGAUCGGCUAGUUGUUGUAUGCCCUUCUCAAAGAGCUUAGGUGAGAAGGUGUUGUAGAUAAAGUUCUGAUGGAACUGUUAUCUAAUAUGUUUCUUUUUCCAAUCAGUGUGGUUGGCUGAUAAUCUGAUAUCAUGAGGAAUAUGGGGUUCCAACUGUUUUAUGAGCACUCUCAACUCAGAAAAAGAGAGAGAAAACAACAGUUUCUGACCAUCCUUUAGGAUAAAAACGAGAAAGGCUGGAGAUAACCUUUUUUGAUAGACCUCUUUGUUUGACCACUCAGAGAAAAAGGGUGGACAAAAUAGCAGAUAGUGUGUAUUUCAAAAAGGGAGGAAUAGAUACAAUAAUUUUUUACGUACAAUUUUUUUCCUCUUUCUUGUUUGUAGUUGUCUAGAGGCAUUUUUAUAAGCUUGCUUAGGAUCAAGGAUUUGCACUUGUGAUAGUGGAUUUAAUUGCUUCUAUCAUUUCAAUCUACAGUUUGCGAUUUAUUACAGAAAAGUAGAUCUAAGAUCUUGUCAAUGAGGAUCAACUAACACAAACAUAAUAUGUUUAUUGUUGAGGAGAUGUGCAUCGAGUUCAUCUAUAUGAUGACGGACACAAGACAUGAAUAGAGGAUCAGCAAAACAACAAGAAAUGCUUGCAUUAGCUCAAAAUGGGAAAAGACAGCAUCUAGGGCUUGAAGUAAGAAUUCUAUUAAAAAUGAUCCAACAUAGAAUUCUAUUAAAAAUGAUCCAACGUCUUGAUUAAAUGCGAAGGAAGAUUUGUACCAAGCACUAAGAUUGAACAAACAUUGGAAAUUUCAUUCAUGAAGACAGUUUGAUAAAGUCUGCUUUUAGCUUUUGAAGAGCCAUUGAUAUAAAAAUCCAUGGGAGAGUCUUCAUCAAAUCUAGAAGUAGCAUCUAGUUAGUGUAUGCUGUGAUUCUGAUCUAGUUAGGAUGAAAAUCAGCUGAAAUAAAAUCAUGACUUAUGAAGAGAAGUUCAUCUCAGGAUGACUUUACAAUGGCUGACCACCUUUAUAGUUGUUGAACCCUUCAAGUCUAACCUCAAUUUAUGGCUACAUGGGAAGGAGAUUUAUAUUCGUGGAAGGAAACAAGGGAUGAUAAUCUCUUCUGUAAUUGGUCAGGACUGAUAUUAAUUUAUUUUGAUGUUGGGUUCUCUCCAUUAGAUAUUUCCAAGUUCAGUUUGAUUAGGUGAUGAGCCCCGCAUGAGCCUUGUCUCAUCAAAUGUAAUGCCAUCAAACAAGCUGUUUGUUCGUUAGCAGCUCAAUUUUUGUUCGAAACUCAGCAUCAACUCGCUUGACUAAUAAAUGAUCUGAGCUUGAGCUAGGAUUUUAAGCUCAAAAUAUAAACAAGCUAGACAUGAGCUGUCAUAUUUGGCUUAAUUAAGUGCCACCAUAUAUAAAUGAAGAGCAAAUAAGUAUUAUGAAUUUUAAUUUAUUUUUAUCAAUAAAAUAUUUAUAUCUGUAUUUUAUGUAUGACAUGAAUAGCUAGGCAUAUAAUGGAAUUUUAUUGGCUGUUAGAUAACGACUGAAACAUUUAUUAAGUUCAGCCAUCAGGUGGAGAUCUGGUGUCUGGGAUAUAAGGACCUUGGAUCAUAAACAAAGAUCCAACACUAAUCCUCGCCCUCCUGAAGUUUCAAACAAGGCCUCCCUCUUUGUUUUGCUUCGCCAUCCCAUUUACCCCAUUCUCCUCCCUUAUUAGUUUGUAUUCACAUCUUCACCCUUAUAACAUUCAUAACUGGUUGUUGCAACUACCGCAAUCUCCAAAAUUUUCAUUACUGCUGCAGUGUUCAUAUGUAAAGGCAACCCCUUGCUGUUCAAUGUUUGCCACCAUCCUCCCUCUCUCCCCUCCAGCAUGCUAUCACUCCCUUUUGCCAUAAUCUCUGAACCCUUCCCCUCCCCUUCUCAGGCCCUUUUAUUAGUGCCUUUAGGUUGAUGUAGUUCUCUGUGUUAUCCAGUGCUUUACGUCCUCUUCGUAUAUGCAUUUCAGAUCAAGUAGAAUAUUGGAGUCACUUUUGUUCCUAACCUUUAUCCCCAUCUUGUCAAACUAAUGUUAUCAAUUAUUUUAUCAUGUCUCCUUGUUCUUCUUGCAGUUAAACCAUUUAUAUUUCAACUUGCAAAUCACAGAAAGUGUCGUGCUGCUGCAGUCAAAAGAAAUCAAUUGACAAAAAGAAGUCUUAUAAAGUCCUAAAUUCUGUAAUGCUGUAUAUAGUAAAAUAAUUAGCAGAUAUUCUUCUCAAAUCCUGAUGACGACUUUCAAUGGAUACAAUCCAAGAUAUCAAAAUCAAUUUCACCUUUUAAAUUAGUUGCUAUUUAUACCCUUAUAGAUUUCUAAAAGAAAUUUGUUAUUUCGUGUACAGGAAUGUGACACGUGGUGGGAUGAUGCGGAACCUUCAAUGACAAUGAACUCAAAUUGAAAACAGCUCAGGAUACUCGAAGAGAUCCAUUUCUCUCUGUUUCUUCUUUCUUGUUUCCUUUUACUUUGUUCUUCCUUCAUUGAUUUGACAGUCAAAAUCAGCACAGAUCACCCUGCGAUCAUCCAAUUUGAGGAUGUAAAAAUCAGAGAGUCAGUCUGCAUCUGAUUUGACUUCUUGUAAUUUAGUGGAAGUGAUGCUGAAAGUUGGCUAACCUUAUGGCAGUCUCUUUGAUAGGGCGAUGCUUAUUGGGUUGUUGUAUAGGUUGAAGGGCCUUCAUUUUUUCCCUAUCUAUUUGUAAUUUUAAGUGUGCUGGUUUCAUUUUCUCACCCCAGUUGUGAAUAUUAUCGUAAUUCAGAUGAGGAUGCAUGAUAUUCACUCUUGUCAGGUUCACGUUGAUUUCAGCUUACACCUUUUGCUCCUUCGCUUUUAUGUUCAUUCAGAACUAGAAGCAGAUCCAAGAAGAGUUCAUUUAGGUUCUGAAAAGGCAGUGAUGUUUCACUAAGAUAAUUAUUGUUGAUGUGGAUGCAGUUUCUUGUCAUUAUGCUUGGAAAUGCAUUGAUCACUCAAUACAGGGUAAUUUGGAAACCAUACCAUGACAUGAUCUUUAUGGCUAUCACCUGCAUUCCUCAGAUAUCUCAACGGCUGAUUUAUCUCCUGUGCCGUUCAUAGCUGCAGAGGCCAUAGUUCCUGCCAUGCAGAGAUUUUGGAGAUUCCAAAAUCCAUUUAAAAAGGCGAACUCUAUCUUGUGAUUAUGAGAUUUUGUAGACUUCUCAAGAUCCACUUCCUUUUAUUCUUCCAUAUAAGUUUCUUUGCAUCUUUUCAUUCACCAGAUAACUGUCAUAUAGCGAAUGCUCCUACAAUUUAUUCCAAAUCCUUUCAUUCUUUCGGACUAUGCUCGCAGACUGCAUUCAGAUAAUUGCCAAUCAGAUAGCUGUUUUCUAAUGUGCCGUUUGUAGUGCAUUUGACUGAUUUUUUUUUGCUCUACCUGAUGUAGCACAAGUGCAGGGAAAAAGGAGAAGGUGGAAGAACAAGGAAGGAAGAAGAGGUUAUAGAGAUGCAGAAAGAAGAGAAGGGGAGGAUGAAGAAGUAGAAGAACAAGAAGGAGGUUAGGAUUUUUUCAUUCUAUCAUCAAUUCUCUCAUACAUGAGGGGGGUGAUUUUUAUAUAGACCUUACAUCUUGAUCAAAUCAAGUAAUCAAUUGAUCAAAUCAAUCAAUUGACACUAAUUAAAUUUGGACCCUUACAUCAAUUAAUUCCUUACCAAAUUUGGUCUUGAUCCAAUUACAUAAAUUUAAUUGAUUAGUCUAAUAAUAAAACAACUGACCAAAUUGACUUAAUUAAGACAAAAGUAAAUAAUAUAAUAAAAGAAAAUGAUUCGGACUCAAAUGGAUUCAAUCCGAGUCUGACUCAAUUCAGGGGCUUAGGAUCAUCUAGAUGAAAGGCUCUGAUAUUUCUAUCACUAUCCUUUUCCGAUCUCCUAUCAUUUUUUUUUCAUGAAACCCUAUGGGGGUGUUGGACGUGAGACGGAUGGCCGGUGUUGUAGCAUAAAAUCCUUGUCCCCGUUCUAUUGUUUUUUCCCUUUUUUUUAUUUUUUUCACUCUCAUUUAUUGCGCUUCCAAAAGGUACUCAUUUCAGUAGCGCCAUGGAUGCUAGACAAAGUCCCAAAUUGGAAGUACUUGAGAAAUUGGUUAAUAGAUCGAAAUAAUCAGGUUCCGAACUGAGAAAUGGUACAUGCCCGAAAAAAUUGUUCAUCUGUGCUACUUUUUCUACUGAUGCACUGCAGAGAACUCUCCAAUUAUUUAAAGCUCCCGUUCAGUGAUUACUGCAGUUUUCAUACGGGAUUUGACCUCAGCCAAGCUAUUCAUUUGCUUCAAAGGGUUUUGCAAGAAAAAAUCCACUUGGUUUUUGUCUUUCCCGGAAGCAACAUGUUUUCGUCUUUGUCGGACAAUUAUAACCCCUUCAUAUGAUCAUUACAAAAAUAUUUAGUUUUAUUAUGCAUGCAAUUAGUAACAAUAUGUACGCUUAUAUGAAAAAUGCGUGCAUUUAUUUGGGAGAAAAAAACAUUUAUUUGGUGGAACAAUAAAAUCGAAAUCAAAGCAUUUUCUGGGAAAAAAAAAAAGAGAGAAAAAGGCUGCACUGCAGGUGCCUGACUGUCAUAAAGGUCUGAACAAGCAAUGGAGAGUGGGGUUGGACUGCAAUAUUCAAAUAAAAGGGAUCCCUUUUUUUUCCUACAAAAAUAAAAAUAAAAUAAAAUUUUCAGAGAAAAGUCCACUCAUAUCCAUCGCCCAUGAUCCAUGUAAGGCACUCAGCAUGAUGCAUGAUGAAAUAUUGGCUCUUAAUAUUUCAGCCAAUAUAAAACAAUAUCUGUUCAUGUUUCUACAGAAAAUAUUAUACUAUAUAAAUUGGUCCCCCAAAUGAAUCCCAUAAUCAUGAUCACCUAAGCAGCUCCUGUUUCACUCAUUGGGAUAUAUUAAUGGUGAUAUCCCUAGCAUCACUCGGCUAAGAGCGUUAAUAUUAAGGUGAACUAAUCUAUUGAUCGAAAAGUCUUUGAUUAGACACUGAUUUGCCACAAACUUAAGCAAUCUACACCUGAACUUUGGCAAUUUCUUUUUGAUCCAGUCAUUCAUGAUUUCUGGACAAGGUUUGCUCUGAAUAGCUUUUGAUUCAAUGGUGAGUUUCAUGGCUAUGUUUAGGUCAUCAUGAAGGGUAUUUUAUCAUCUACAGAUGCCUUUAUAGCAGUGGGUAAUGUAGUACCUUGAAGUGUAUAGAAUAAUUAAUCAGAGUUCAAAUGGUUCUUCCAUGCAAUUAUGGUGGAGCAUAGAGCAAUUAGUCUAGAGUGACGAUUUAAUCUGCAAAAAUUUUCUAGCCCUUCUUCAAUUAAAUCAUCACAGCAUAGAACAUUUUGACCAAUACAUGGCAAAAUAUCAUCCCUCCAUAAUAAAUUAAAAGAAAAAGUAACUUAUCCAAGGUCUACUCUAAAUUGGCUAUGCUGCCUACUAUUUGAUUACCUUAACAUUUAAUGCAAAAGAUUCUUGCUCUCCCUUUUCUAGCUUUUUCAGAAUUCAAUAAAGUUGAGCACGAAGCAUUUUAAUCUCCUAAGUCAACAUUCCUAGAUGCCAUUAUAAUUAUUAAUUUUUAUCUAAAACUUUUCCACCACCAUGAAUUCAACAACUAAACUCAUAUCUUCAAAAAUGACCCAAAAAAACCAUUUGCUGCAUGCUGUAAGAUAUUCAAGUUAGCAUAGAAAUGCAAACUCCUAAGUCAUAAGCAAGUCCAAACUCAGUCAUCGUAUGAAAGUUUUCAUCCUAGUAGAGAUCAUAUUGAUUUGUAAUAAUAUUAGACUACUAAUAAGAUAUAUAAUUGAUAUUUUCACUUUUAAUACAUUAGCUCAUGUAAAUCUAUAUUUCUUAAUGUAUCAGCAGAUAAAAUAUAAAAAUAUUGGCUAUAAUUUUAUAAUGAGUCUUUUCAUGAUAUCAACUUAUUUAAUAUUAAGUAUUUGAUUUAAAUAUUUUGUUUACAUACCCUUUAAAAUCAAAUAUUUUUUGUAUUAAACCUUUCAAAUUUUUCUAAUUUUUGCAAGGAUACCUGUCGUAUUAGAAUUUUGACUGAUGGUGUUAAUAAAUAAUUAUGUUAAAUGUAAAAUAACUUUAUUACCCUUUUACACUAAUACUCUUAAAAAUUUUACGCAAAAAUAUAGCUCUUUACAACAUAGCUUAAAUAUUAAAUAUAUUCAAAUAUAUUAAUAUAAAAGGGUAAUACUAUCCUUUUAUACUUAAAAUGGUUUCUUUUUGACACCUUUAGUCAAAAAUACAAUGAAAGAUAUCACUAUAAACACAAAAUAAUUUAAAGGAUAUUACGUAAAUAGCGAUUUUUGAAGGAUAAAUAUGCAAUCAACUGCAUUUACAAGAAUAAAAUGUAAAAAAUUAUUUAAUUAAUAGUUAAUUAUAGUUAAUUAUUUAUUAUAUUAGCCGAGAUUUCUAUAUUUUUGUUCCUAAAAUCUUGACCUUUGAUCUUGCAACAUUUUAUCAUCUCUUUUUAUAGUAAAUUAUUGUGGUCUCUCCUUUAACUAUAUAUUUCCAUCUUGGCCAUGUUUAACCAAGACAUCUCUGCAUAAUAGGCAUCACCUGGAUUGUUGACAUAUUCAACCAAAAAAAAAGAAAAGGGAAGACAUGCAAGUAGCUUUCUUCCCAUUCUAUCUCAAGUAUUUAAUAAUUUUAUAUAAAAAAAUAUUUAUAUCCAAAUCAGAUGAAUACUUAUAAAAAACUAGUUAUCUUAAUACCACCAUCCCCCAAGCACCCCCCCCCCCCCGCGCCUUUACCACCUCCCAAUAAAUGGCAAAACUCUCAAAAGAUGGUAAACGAUCAUCCCGCCAACCAUAUGGACCCCACCUAUUAGACCCUGCACCAUUGAGGGUGCAAAACUGAGUGUACCGGCACACGAGUGUCGCUAAGUAUCCAUAUUAGAAAAUUAGGAAGUCUGAAAAAAAUUCAGACAAAAAGGUCAAGAGAUCAGCCCAUAUCCUCUCCGCCAACCCGAUUAGAGCCGUGUCUAAAGGCGCACGCGCAACCUCUCUCUCUCUCUCUCUCUCCGAGAUAUCUUCUUCUUAUUANNNNNNNNNNNNNNNNNNNNUCUUAUUGUAAGGAAAAAGUGGCCUCCAAAAAGGCAGCUUAAUUGGGGGGCCAUCUCGCCUUCUCCACUGCAGCCAUCUCUCUCUCGUGUUCUCUUUUGCCUUCCUCUGGACUCGUCUCUGGUCCUUGGUCUCUUCUUCCUCCCCUUCUCUCUCUGUACGGCUUCAUGCCCCACCGGUUCUGACCGCGAAAGAGAGUUCGGAAUGCUUCAGAGCUCUCCGGAGUGGUUCUAGUUGAUUUCGCCACGGAUCUAGCUUCAAUUCGAUGUAGAAGGUGCGCAGUCCUAGUUCUCCGGUGGAAAGAUAGGUUCUCGCGGCGGUUGGAGCGAUCUGGAGUGCUGGAUCUGGUGGAGUUCCAAGAAGAGAUGGAUCUGGUGGAUUUGGUUUUGGUUGGUAAGAGGAGGGGGGAGUUGAGGUGGUAGGUUUGGUGUGUCUGAAGGGAGAUUUGAAGUGAUGGCUACUGUUCAGAAGUUGCCGGGUUCGAGUUCGAGCACGGCGAGCAGCUACGGUUCCUGCAGGGUGGAUGAUGAGCAGUUCCCUGCGGGGAUGAGGGUUCUUGUGGUUGAUGAUGAUGUGACUUGCUUGAGGAUUUUGGAACACAUGCUACAGAGGUGCCGGUACAAUGGUGAGUAUGUUCCUUGCCCUGUACUUUAGUGAGAUCAGUUUUUAAGUUUUCGCUUAGAAUGGCGGGAAGUGAUGGCUUCUGCAUGUUUUUGAUGCAUGGCGGAUGUUAUGAACUAUCAUAAUUUAAUGCAAUAGACUGAUUAUCCUGCUGAAAAAAAAUAUGGCUUGAUGACCUGAUGUGAUAUUCUGAUGAUAAUGUGCAGGCCAUAUGGAUUAAAUCUACCUCAAAGUGUUGAAAUAAAAUACAUUAAACCAUGAAGUAAAGCUAGAACUUUGAACACUACUUGCUGAUGUUAUUAGCUUGUUGCUACCAGUGUCUUUCACUUUUUGUACUCGGAGGACAUUUGGUCACCCCACAAUGCACAAGUCUGUCCAUUUUUUCCCUAGGGAUACACAAAGUCGAGGGUAAGUCCCAGAGACAUGAUCGUUUAAAAUUGAGAAUCAUAUCUGACAAACCCUUUGACCAUUCCUUGUCAUCUAUCGAGUGUAUUGGCCAUCUUUCAAGAAACAAAAGGAUCUGUUUAACUUUUCUCUAGGCAUUUAUAAACCAAGCAAAGAUUAGUUGGGAUCCACAAUUUUGGUAGCAUAACUCAUGUAAGCUUAGGUAAUUGUUAAAAAUAUCCAUCAAUCAUCACAUUGUACUAUACUAAACUGAAAUGGUUAAAGUCAUGGGCAAAAAAGUUUAGAACGAUGGAGGAGAAUACUUAUUAUUCCUGAUGGGGAAAAUAUUGGAUACCUCGACUUCAGACCAGACCGACUUUGACCUUGGUAUAACCGAGGUGUACAACGUCGGCCUCAGCUGAGGAGCCAACCAACUGAUGAGAGCAACUUCGUCUCCAAUCGACGAGUCAAUCAACACGUGCUGACAAGGACGGACAGUUCUGUCAAUCGGCUGUCGUGACAGCGACUGGCCGUUGUGGCAGCUCUGUAAUUGAUGCGCAGCGAGGACCGUAUGCCGCCCACGCAGAGCGACAUCUAUGCUAUAGAUGUACACUUGACCACUAGUGCACGUCACAUCAUUCUAGGUAAACGACAAAACAGGCUACCCUAUAUGAAGAGGCAGUCCGGGAGACCUCAGGGAUGACUUACAUUAUUAUUCACAGAGAACUAUACUCUGCUGAACUUUCUUCCUUCUAUACUAUUGUCCCUCUAUUCUAACUUAGGCAUCGGAGGGUCCCCUUCGGAAACUCUUCGGCAAGCGGACUUCUUGCAGGCCAUCCCCGGAGAAAGCUAGUUCUAGCACACCUCGGCCACUUCAUCCAACUAGGUUCCUGCCGACUUCGAGGUAAUUUUGAGUUGCGCUCCAACCUCGGUCCGGAUUUAGCAGCAACAAUUUUAUUUAAAAGUAGAUUGUGAUGCAUAAGAGCUUGUAAAUGGACAAACUAAAAAUAUAAUUCUCUCACGCAGAAGAAUGCUUAAAAGUUUAGAAGUUGAUAGCCCUAGGGAGUGGAGAAGAGAAAAAAAAAUCAUCUGGUUGAUGAAAAGCUUGAGAUGUUGACGUAAAAGUGUAAUUCCAUUCCCACUGAGUAUGCAGAUUUACAUAGAACUUCCUCCAGAGAUAGAAUGAGCCAGAAAAUGUUUAAUUUGUACUUCAUGAAGAUCUAGAGAUGAUGAAUUCUAACAUUGGAAGAUAAUAGUUUGAUGUGAAACCAAACAAGAAACCCAAGGUCUUAAAGCACUAGGCAUGAACCACCUACAGCUUUUUUUAGACUUCAUAUUAGAUUUUAAGGCUUGCUAAGGUGAUAACUAGAGUUUACCUGGUUAGGCGGACCUAGGUAAGUGCUUGUAGCUUCUCAUAAUAGGCCAUUAAAGUUUUCAGCCCCAGUGAACUCAGUCAUAAGAUUCUUAGAUUUCCAUGAUUAGACCUUUUAGUAUGCUGAAUUCAGUGUAUUUGCCUUAUAGCACUCCAACUACUAGAAGGGGGCCUGUAGAAUUUCCAAGUUCAAUGAAUUUGUUCACAAGCCUUUUAUUCUCAAACAAUGAGGCUGCUGAAUUUUUUAGUAUGAAGAAUUUGUUCUGAAGCGUCUCAGUCUCCUACAAAGUGGUCUUUUGUAUGUCUACAUUGAGUGAAUUUGGUUACUAGUUUCAUAUUCUACAAUUGAUGAACUUAAACAUGUACAUAUUUGUUUCAUUCCUCGGGCUUCUAAAGAUCCUAUAUAUGAUGAACAAGGUUGAGUGCACUUACAACUCUCAUACACUUGCAGUUAACAAGUAACCAUAAGCUUAAACCUGAAGUCAGAAAGUCCUUGUUCUGUGGCUCAAACCCAAUCAUAAGCCACAUGACCAUGUUCAUGCCCUAUAUAUUAUCAAACAGAAAAACAUGUUCUCCAAGAUAUUAAGUAUGAAAUGAACUCAAUCAUUGGUGGGUAAUAUGUGACAGACAAUAAAGGGACUACUAAUGCCUAAACACUUAAUGGCCUCCUUAACAUUAAUUAGCUCUUCGCUCCACAUGUGGGUUAGAACCCGUUGCAAAGCUCGAUUGGAUUAAUAUUUACUGAUAAAAUAGCACAUUCAUUGAGGGCCUGCAGUACUUAAUCUGGACUUCCUAUACAUUUUCCGACUUCUCUCCUUUAUUGUACAAGUAAUUUGAGGCACACUAAGCCAAUGAUAACCUGCUUAGCCUAACUUUGAAACUCAUGUUAGAUCAUUUGGGGCUUAUUCCUGAAAAUCACAUGCCCAAUAUAUGAAUUAGCCUAAUGAGAUUUUUUUGAGUUAACCAAAAUUUGGUCAUGCAAAAUAUUUCUUGUUAAUCAAUAUUGACUGACUCACUUGUAAUUUCAUUAGUUGAAUAGUCAUAGUCUUUGCAAAUAAGUCCUAAAAUGUGCGCUGGUUGCUCUCCAGUCUUAGAAAGAAAAUCUCUAAGCCCGUCAAAGAUCCAAAUUAAUUCUACCAAGGGCUUUCAUUCUCUUUCUCUGUUAGUCAUUUUCCCCUCCUUUCUUCUGUCAAUAGCUUCUCUUUCUCACCUUAUCUUAUAUCCUACCCUUGUAAUUUGUGCCCAUUGCUAUUGUACAAUAGAAAGGGAACAUUUUUGAAUCAGAUUAAAACCUUUUUUGUGCUAGAACCAGUAAAGAGGUCCAUUUCCUUCUUUGAGGUUACAUCAAGUGGCAUUACAACCUUGUUGUCCCACUUCAAGAAUGGUGAGUUGGACCUUAUGCUGAUGCAAAGUUGUGAGCCCUUGUAAGGGUGGCUCGGUGCACGAGGCUCCUGCCAUUGUAGGAUCUAAGGCGGGUCAGAUGUAUGCAACAUUGCCUACAUGUGGAGAGACUAAUUCCGUGUUUUAAACCCAUGACCUCCAGGGCACAAUGGAGCAACCUUACCGUUGUGCUGAGUCUCACCUUCAACUAUGAGCCCGUCAUGAGAAUGAAUAAAUAUGGUAAUGGCAAUGGAUGUCAAGGGAAGGUACAAGCUAUUGGAGUUGUGUAAUAUGACCAAAAAUUCAACUCUUGUUCAUCCUUCGACGUCUACAGAAACCUCCAAGCCAAACAUGGAGGAUAAGUGUCUACUACAAAUUAAAGGAGAUAAAAUCAAAUUCUUCUCCUCCAAAAAUUAGUGUAGUUGUUAGAGCAUAUGGUUAAAGGAACUAAGGAGUUUGAAAAAGCAUCAAGUGAUGAACAGAAGGUGCACAUACUUUUGUGAGAGAACAUCAAUUUGUGACGGAAAGCAGAUAUUAUUGUAAUCUUCAAUAGGAGAAUCUUGAAACAUUGUCCACAAAUUAGUAAUUCAGAAAGCCACAUUUGAAGUAAGAGGUGUCAAAACUUGGUCUCUUUUCUGGAUGGACAAUGCAAAGAUGAAGUGCUUUGUGAUUUCAAUUUGAUGAUGGAGGAUUUAAUUGUGCAUUUGUGCUGUUUCAUAUCCAUGAUACAUUGUGCCUGCAAACUUUUGGCAUGAUAUAUGUUGCAUACCUAUGCACCAUCUGUGCCAAAUUGUUUCAUUAUUUAGAAGAAUAUAUACUAACACAUGUCUGCUGAAAUGCUUUUUGAUAUGGACUAUGCAUGGUGAUAAUUUGUCUUAUCCUUGUAACCAUCUUGAGCAAUCUUGUUUCUAUUCUAGAUGUUUUGAAACUACUCCACAAUAAUACCGUUAUAUAUAUAUAUAUAUAUAUAUAUAUAUAUAUAUAUANNNNNNNNNNNNNNNNNNNNUAUAUAUAUAUAUAUAUAUAUAUAUAUAUAUAUAUAUAUAUAUUCCAUACAUCAACAUUAUUAUGCCAAAUAUAUAUUAUGGUGUUGUUAAUAUGUGCCUAUAAUCAAAUGUCCACUUAGUUGUUUUUUGUCAGUUUUAAGAUUUUUGUUUUGUAUUGAGCACAAAUAAUUGUUUGAUGUUAUUGAAUAUGACCCCACACUUUGGAACUAUGAAAUGCACAUAAUAAAUAAUAAUCCAAAGAGCUAUUAAAGAUGAUUUAUGUGUCUAGUUCCGCCGACUAGUUAAAGACUAACUGUACAUGUUUAACAUAUUUUUGUACACCAUUGAGCAAAUAAAUUAGUUUAGGUUGAAAGAGAAUUGAUUAAAAUAGUGUAGCUUAGUGCAUUAGUUGCAAAUUUCUUGGGGAAAUUGAGGUCCACCAACUUGUUUGACUACCAUUCUACAUCUAGUCCUUGUUGACUUAGAACUUUAUUCCAGGUCCUGGAUUUUACAUUAGUAGCUCUAAGCAUUUGGUGAAACAAGUAGUUCACCAGAACCAGAGUCCAUAACCUAUCUAUUCAGUAAAAUAUGUACCUUACAAUAUAGAUUGGUAAAAUUUGGUACCUAUAUCCUACUUAAUGGCCCUUUUUUGAGCUACUCGUUUAUUAAUUAUGCUUAUUAGUAAGCAUAAAUAAUGCUUUCCAAUGUGUUGCUGCUGGAUGCUAUUUAAAUGAUUUCAGUCCAAUAGUGAAUCCUUCUAUAAUUUGCUAAGAUUGCAUAAUGCUGGAUUACUAGUGCAUGGUUUAAAAACAUAACCUUGUUUGUAGAAAGGGACCAUGAAUAAGUUAUCUAUUACUCUCCUUGGAAGCUAAUUCAUUUUAUGCACAAAAUACCUGCAUAUUUUUGUGCCUACAUUGAUCUAUAAAGUACAAUCUCAUCAUUGCUUCCACUUUGCACAAGGUUGCAAUACAAGAUUGUUUUAGGGGUUUUUUGCAUGUAUGCCCUCUAAAAUAUACAAAAUUGUAUGGAUACCCUCGUAAAAUUGCUAUUUGCAUGUAUACCCUCAUAAAAUACUUAUUUUGUAUGUAUACCCUUCUUUAUAUAUAUAUAUAUAUAUAUAUAUGCACCCAUACCAUCUAACGCCGCUAAAAAAUAAAUGAUUUAAAUUUGAAAUGACUGAAAUACCCUUAUAGUAGAUGCGUAAAAAAAAUGUUAUAAGGAUACAUAUGUAAAUAGCAACUUUGCAAAGGUGUUCAUGCAAUUACACAUAUUUAGGAGGGUAUACAUUUAAAAAAAUCCAUAAAAAUGAUCAAAAUUCAGUAAAGAUAAUUCUGUUAUUCUUAAUAAAAAAAGAUGACGAAAAAAGAUUAAUAUUAUCAUGUCACAUGAUCUCAUGUUAAUAUCAACUCUUAUAGAAUGAAUCAUAUUGCUUUUACGAAAUUCUUGCCUAAAAAAAAACAACUCAAUAGUUACAAAUCACUAAAAAAUAUUAUAAUAGUCUAAACAUCUAUAAUGAAUUUAAAUUUGAUAUGCUUUAAUCUUUUAAAAAUAAUGAAGAAUAUAUAGGUGUCAUAGAUUUAAUAAUGAUAAUUAUAUCAAAAUCAAAUGGAGAAUAGGAUUACUAAAAUGGUCACCUAAUAUUCCAACUUGACCGAGUCAUGAUCUUAUAAAGAAAAUUGACAAUGUAGCUCAAUCUUUUUUUGAGCUGUGGAUCCAACUGAAUCAUAAGAAACUUAGCAAGUUCUAACCGAGUUUUGAUCUUUAUUUUAAUAAUUUUUUGAAUGUAUACGCUUCUAAAUAUGAGAAAUUGCAUGAAUACCCUUGUAAAGUUGCUAUUUGCGUAUAUACCAUUAUAACUUUUUUCUGCAUAUCUACUCAUAAGGGUAUAUCAGUCAUUUUAGUUUUAAGCUAUUUAUUUUUAACGACAUUAGAUGGUACGGGUAUAUAUGCAAAAAAGAAAAAAAAGAAGGAUAUACAAGUAAAUAGUAAUUUUACGAGGCUAUUCAUACAAUUUCAUAUAUUUAGGAGGGUAUAUAUGUAAAAAUUUCUUUUUUUAGACAAUGGCAUUCCAAUCUUAUGUCAAUUGCCUGUUGGUGAUUUAACUUAUUUUCUGAAUUUAUAAUCAACUAAUUUGAUCAUUUCUUAAUUUCUUAUGCAAGUCUAUAGCUGCCUAGCAUAGUGAUGAUAAUUUUCAAUGUCUUGCAGUUACAACUUGCUGUCAGGCUACAAAAGCUUUAUCCCUUCUUAGAGAAAGGAAAGGUGGUUAUGAUGUGGUGAUAAGUGAUGUUCAUAUGCCUGACAUGGAUGGAUAUAAGCUACUUGAACUUGUUGGACUUGAAAUGGAUCUUCCUGUUAUUAGUGAGUAAUAUUCUGUUUACUAUUUUUUUGUAGUUUCUUUUCAAUUAGGAUAUAACCUGCUAGAUUUUCAAUUUGCAGUGAUGUCCGCUGAUGGGAGAACUAGUGCUGUGAUGAGAGGGAUAAAGCAUGGGGCAUGUGAUUAUUUGAUUAAGCCUGUACGCAUAGAAGAGUUAAAGAACAUAUGGCAGCAUGUUAUUAGAAAGAAAUGGAACGAAAAUAGAGAUCUUGAACAUUCAGGUACCAUGGAGGAAUCUGAUCGUUUUAGACGUGCUGUUGAUGAUACUGAGUAUGCUUCAUCAGUGAAUGAUGGAACAGAUGGUACUUGGAAAUCUCAGAAAAAGAAAAGAGAUGCUAAAGAAGAUGAAGAUGAUGGUGAACUGGACAACGAGGAUCCUUCUGCAUCAAAGAAGCCACGUGUGGUAUGGUCAGUGGAGCUCCAUCAGCAAUUUGUCAGUGCUGUGAAUCAACUUGGCAUUGACAGUAUGAACAUUGAUCACCAUGGUUUUUUCUUUAGUUUACGAUAUAAUUUAAAUCAUAAGACAUCUUGCUGGAGUCUGAAAACCAUCUUGUACAUAUAUAUAAUCCAUGCAUGUGCAAACACACAUAUGUAACUGAACUUGGUUCUGUGAUUAUACAUUGAAACGCAUGCUUGCAAAUAUGUACUUCAUGCAUUAUUGAUGGAUUUUUCUCAACUGUGCACAGAGGCUGUCCCUAAGAGAAUUCUAGAAUUGAUGAAUGUUCCUGGCCUGACUAGGGAAAAUGUUGCAAGCCAUUUGCAGGUCUGACUCUAACUUCAAAUAAAUUUUUUUUGGAAGUAGAUGAUUUUAAUUGUCAUAGGGAAGUUAUUUCAAGCUUUGGUAAGUAAAACUAAAGGGUUUAUGCUUAUUGCAUUUUUUUCCUGUUUACAAUUUGGACUGUAUAAUGUUUCAAUUCUGUCAGGUAUCUCAUUGACCUAGAGUUCUUUUUCCCUUUUUUUUAAAAACUCUGGUGUCUCAAAUACUCAUUUGUUCCCAUCUGUCAUGGCACAAAUGAAGUUAGAAUAUUGUGAUCACUGAUCGGAUUCUACAAAAUCAUGAUAUAUAUCGCUAAACAGGUUUGCCAAGAAUGCUAGUUGGAAACGUACAUCAGGUGAUUAAGGGUAUUACCUGUAUUGUUCAGUAGGUUUUGGUAUAAACUACUAAUUCAUUGCUUGCAAAAAAAUAUUCUAGAAGUUUUAUUCUUAUGCUUAGCUUUACCUGAAAUGAUUCUUGACCAAUGUAUCCUUUUAUUGAUCUGUAGUUCCAUAUUUUGGCAAAGUAUCUGACUCCAUUUAAAGUUUAAUUUGGUAACUUGAGCCUAGAAACUAGCCUAUAGACAGGGUUAACAAUACCAUAACGUGACUAGUACUGACUCUUUGACUAGUAAAAUUGGUCUGUUAAUGGGAUCCCAUAGGUCAACUUCCUUUAAACUUCAUCUAGUUCCACAAGACAGAUCUUAUUUCAUUUAAGUUGCUCUAGCUUUUUAUAUAAUUUUAGUCGGAUUGUCAAAUACAAUGUCGUUGUGAACAUAUAAAUAAUGUAUAAUAUUGAUAAAAUCAAGAUUUAUAAUCUUGCCACUGGAUCCUGUAUCAUUAACUUAUCAAUAUGGGAUGGGUUGGUAUGGUGUACUAUUAGAGUUGGCACAGUAGUUGUACCAUGUCUCGUUACAGCUCCAUACCAAGCCCGUAUACUGUAAAUAAUGUCAAUGUGACAAUUUAAGAAUAUUGGGUACUAUAAUGUAGCAACCAUGAAAUAUGUUCAACAAAUUGUGCCUUUCAAAGUAAAUAAUGUCUAUUUGACAAUUUAAAAAUCCUAAGAUUUUUAUAAACCUAUUGUCACAUGAAGAAGAAAAACAGAUUAUACAGUAGUGAUAAUAUGAGUGAUGCACUAUUGUACUUUGGUAACAUUAAAAGAUGAUAUAGUUACUUUUAAUAUACAAUUUCAUAUUUGGCCAAAAAUAAAUUAAGCACGUGAUUUGAUGAAUCUAGUAGCAAAAGCCAGUAGAAUUAUGAUUACAAACAUGGGAUGUUUCUUGUGCAUAUGUGAGUUAAGAACAAUGGCAACAGCUAAAAGUGGAAAAUUAUUAUUUUAAUAGCAUAAUGCUUGUGAAAAGGGACACAGGAAAAAUAAAAAAUAUCUAAUAGCUGUUAUAUCUCAUAAAAAACUCGUUCAUAACAAGAGAAUGUUGUUCUGAAGCCUGAGUGAUCACAGAAUUUAAAGUACUCAUCAAUUAUGAAGUAACUGCCAAUGAAGCAAGAAAUAUCCUUCCAAGAGGGAGAAUCAUUGCUUGGAAGCUCGAAAUGGAAAGCUUUCCUUAGCAGCACCUAGUACGCACCUAGUGGAUCAAGUAACUUUGGCUAUAUGUUUUCAAAGGUAUCAAUUUGGUCAGUUCUAUGUUGAUUUUGUGCUUUUCAUGCAAGCUUGGGUUAAGACUUGUAUGAAAGAGGAAAUCAAACAGAAAGUUUAAAGAAGCUAAUUAAUGAUUUGCAAUUUGAUGUUCAACUUUCUGUUAUAGUUUCCUUUUGCAUCAUUGAAUAAUUUUUCUGAAUUUUAAGAUAUUUUUUGCUAAAACAGUUGUAGUAUAUUAGUUGAUUCAUCAUGCCAAUAUUUGACUUUUCUUCUCCCAUCCCAUUUGUAAAAAACGUUGAGCAAAUUCGUGCCAUUAAUUUCAAGGAGGACAUUCUCCUUGCUAGGGGCCAUUCUGAUGCAGUCUUAUGGUGGAAUUUGAUUGAAACAUCAAGUUAGCCAUAGUUGAAGGUACAGCUUUCAAAGUUAGUUUCUAUGCCUUUAAAUGUGUGAUAUUGCUUUCUAAGUGGUUGCCCUAUGUGAUUUGUCUGGAAGAGUUAAGUAGCAGACAUGCUAAUGAGGGGAACAGCCUGAGAGCAGAUUCUCCAAAGGUGUCUAUCAACUUAGUUCUAUAGUGGGAUAGAAAGAGGCAAGCUUUUUGUGAUGGGAACUCAUUUAUCUUUGAAGCAUGAAUCAUAGGCCUAACAACAAACAUCAUAACAUGAGAUAGAAGGAAGCAAGCUUUUUGUGAAGGGAACUCAUUUAUCUUUGAAGCAUGAAUUAUGAGCGUAAUGACAAAAAUCAUAACAUAAGCUACUGUUUAAAACAUAUUCACAUGAACAUCAGAUUACUUAAUCAUAAAACCCUCACUAGCCAUUUGUUCAUUUCAUGGGUAAUUCUCAAAAGAUGACUUAGAUGCUUUUACUUCAUUAUAAACUGCAAAUACCAAUAUGGCAUAGAAUGCCUGUUCAUACUCAAUGAUUUAUAUUUUCUGUUAUUACUCUACUGAGCUUUAUUCAUUACAAAGAUGCACCUCGUGCUUAUAGGGUAAAGAAAAGAUAUUUAUGCUAUUCUUGAAAAAUAUGAACAAAAUUUUCACCAGCAAUUUGGUAAAAACGUGCAGAAAUUCAGACUAUACUUGAAGAGGUUAAGUGGGGUUGCUCAAAACCAGAGUGUGCUUCCUAAUUCAUUCUGUGGAUCUGUAGAACCAAAUGCCAAAUUGGGCUCAUUGGGCAGAUUUGAUUUCCAAGCUUUGGCUGCUUCAGGUCAAAUUCCACCACAAACUCUAGCUGCUUUGCAUGUCGAGCUCUUAGGCCGACCUUCAGGCAGCUUAGUGUUGCCAGCAGUUGAUCAGCCAGUUCUUCUACAUGCCUCGAUGCGAGCACAUAAGUGCAUUCCUGUUGAACAAGGAGUGGCAUUUGGUCAACCUCUAUUGAAAUGCCAAUCCAGUACACAGAAGCAGCUCCCUCAGUCCAACAUUGUUGUUGAAGACAUGUCUUCUGGUUUUUCAGCUUGGUCUAGUAAUCAAUUCAGUGCAACAGGUACUGCUGGCAAUCUUGGGGCAGUGAACAAAAGUCAGAGUGGUAACUUGCUGGUGCAGAUGUUACAACAGCAACACCCAUACCCUGUGCUGCCAGAAUCUAAUCAUGCAAUUAAUGUACAACCUUCUUGUCUUAUAGCUCCCUCGCAGUCAUCAAAUGGUUUCCAGAUAGGGAACAGUCAUGUUCCGAUAAAUCCGAACUCUACAGUGGAUACUGCUCUGUCAUCCACAAGCUUUCAGGUCAGGAGCAAUGCUCUUCCUGUUAAUCAAAAUUCUAACUAUACUAACAGCAGCACAGUCAUGGAUUACAACCUGAUAUCUUCUCAGUCACAUAAUGUACCAUUGGAUAUGGAACAAGUCUCAAAUGGAGACUUGAAGAAUGUUGGUGUGCUAAAUGGGUACUCAGUUCCAGGAUCAGUUUCACCAUCGGUGUCAUCCUGCUCAAUUCGUACAGAAAGCUGCACUGGUUGGCAGGUGCAGAACUCAAUAGUAAAUGUUGCUCCAGCAAGUAGAUUGCCCACUCACUUGCCUAGCUUGUGCAUUCAAGGAUCUGACUCAAAAACGAGUGCAUUGCCGGACCAAGGACGAGGGAGGAAUCUUGGAUUUGUGGGUAAGGGUACAUGCAUCCCCAGCCGGUUUGCUGUGGAUGACAAUGAAUCUCCAACUAAUGACCCGAGUCAUUGGAAUACGUGCAUUGGUAAUGAAAGGGUCAGAGUGAAGCAAGAGACUGUUUUGGAUUUUGGAGAUGGUUCUGGAGUCGAGAAUUCUAAGUUACCACAUUUCUCUUCGAAUGAUCUCAUGGGUGUUCUGUCCAAGUAGGUAAUUAAGUCCCACAAAUCUGCUUUAUUUCUUAUUUUAAAUAGGAAAACAAAAUCAUGCAGAUUGUGUUUGCAUUAUUGGCUUAUCCUUCUUAUCAAUACCUCAGAUUUUUGUGUGAUUAAUAGAUAAGGAUUUUUCUAUGUGUUCAAGAUAAAUUAAAGAUUCAUUGCUCAUUAGUCUGUUGCAAAAUUAGAAAGAGUUGAUCUCUGGUAAAUGACAUAUUGUGCUUAUGUCUUGAAGGCAUAGUAUCAAAUAUGAUUAUUAGGCUAGCUAUGCUACUCCAUCAGGUCUUUUGCUUGCUAAUAGCUUAUUUCAGAUAUGGAGUUAAUUUGUGCGCCAGGCACAAGCGACAUAGGACUGCAUUCCUGUGCAUAAAUCUUAGAUCUUGAGGCUUGACUGAUGACAGUUGAGCUCAUAACGUGCCAUGUGUCUUGUUGCCUGAUCCUGUCGCUAGGCAAGUGCUGUUCUGUGCUUGAUAAAUAUCAUGUUUUGAUUAAGAUCAAUUACUUUAUAACAAUAUCAAAAAAAAUUGCCUAAAUAAGGAGAGAACUUAUUAGGGAGAGAGAGCGGAAGGGGGGACUUACCUUGUCGGUGGCGGCCAACGUUGAAAGAGAGAGAGGCUCGAAGGAGCUAGGGUACGGUUGGAGCUUCGAGGGAAGUCAUCGGAGUGGGGAAGGUUGGGGAGACUUUUAUAGGCCGAACUGACCUGAAUGGCCAAAUCGUCCUAGGUUAGCAUCGAUUCAUUUUGGUACUGGCCGAACCGCUUGGUUUGGGUCGGUUUAGUGUUCCCUGAUUGCGGUUUAGUGUUCCCUGAUUGCAUGUGACAAAUUCCUAUAAAUAUUUUUUAAACAAAUAUGAAUAUAACUAAUGUUUGAUUCAUAUCCAUAUUAUUCUUAGAUAAAUAUAGAUAUACAUACAGUUAUACAUUACUUACAGACAUAUAUACGAGAAUAUGGAUACAUAUGUAAACAUGUAUCUGCAUUCAUUAAUAUUAAGUAAUAAUGAACAUUAAAAAUUGUUAAACCUGUCCUUUCUCUUGGUUCACAUGUCUUCAUCAUUCUUAAAGAAAGAGAGAAAAAGAAAAUUGGUCUAGAAGAGAAAACAAAAGAGAAAUCAAUUUCAAUAAUUGAACAUCACUUUAAUAUCCAAUUUGGAAUUGGACUUGAAGCUUCAGACUGGACUUCACUUAGAUAAAAAAGGCCUAAAGUGGAGAGGUCUUGGAGACGGACGUCUUGGACAUGAACCCAUUGGUAAUCUUGUUUUUGAAUUUGUUUUAAUCAAAGUUCGAAAUAUUGAGAAUCCAUUCCAUAUCGACCAAGGAUGGUUAAGGCACACACCAUAUUGAGGAUUGUACUAGCAAAGGGUAUCAAUGGGUGCCAUACACCCUUGGUACAACCCUUUUUGGCUCCAAACUUUGGUUCUAAAUUUUUUUAGUAAUAUUUUCUUAUCUGACUUUAUGUUUUUAAUUGUAUAAAUUGGGAAUAUGAAGUUUCUAGCUUAAAAAUGGUUUUAAACUGGUCAAUCUAAUGGGAAAACCCUUGCAGCAACCUGUCCCAUCUUCCCCUUAUUUCAACGUUCAAAUAAUUAAAAACAAGGGAAAAGCACACUUUAGCCCACUUCCGAAGUGGCACCUUGAUAUCGCUCAAUUUGGGAGUGGUUUUAGAUAGGUUUGGGAAAAACCAUCAAUCCAUCCCUGAAGUGCUUGAUCCACACAUCAUUAGAGUGGGUUGGGGGUAGUUUGUAUCAUUUUUGCUUGAACCAAGCCUCCUUGUAUCAUACCAAGCCUUCCUGUAUUGAGCCAGAACCCCAUGUAUCCAAGAGGUCUCUAUGGUACUCAUUAAUGGGUAUGCACCGAACUGUUUGGGAUGUCAAACCGGGGUAUUAAUUUAAAUAAGUUGUUUGAAUUACAAUAGGGCUAAUUUGUCUGAUUUGACUUAUUCUUGACUAAAAGUCAGUGCAUGGCAAAUAUUUUAUAUGGAUUGAUUUCGGUCCAUCAAAAGAACCAAGAUUAUGGACAAUGUUUCAUUUUGGCCUGAAACCCUGGUCCGUGAGGCAUUAGAUGGUUUGUUGCAUCAGCUGGAAUUUCUCGACAAGUAAUCUCCUUCAAGAAGCAAGAAUAAUGGUGAUGAGGUUGGCUGAAAUCCUGAUGCUGUGGGUGGAUGUGGAGAGUGUGCAGGGGAGAAGAACUUUUAUGAAGAAGACUGAAAAGGAUGGUAGAGAGGUCAAGAAAAGAGUUGACAACAAAAGACAAUAUAUUUAAAUUGCCAUAUAAACUCAAUAAUGAUUCUCAAAAUCUUACAUGAUCUAAUGACUUCUCUUGGAAGUUAGUAGUUUAGAAAGAUCCUUGAUAAUGCUAACCCUAGGCUACUUUUGUUCUAGACUGCACAUUUAUUGAGAGGUAUCUGUUAUGACUAAAAUACUAUUAGGCUAUAAAGCAUGGAAAUAGAAGAAUGAUAUGAAUAUGGCAUCGUCUGAAUAUGGUGAUAUGGCAGAUUCUAAGAAAAUGGGAUAUUAUAUGAUUAUAUAGGUAUAUAUAUUUGUAUAUAAUAUAUCCAUAUAUGUUUGUGUAUGUUUGAUUGUGUAUGAGAUGGACUAUGCUUAUCUCAAUAAAGAGAAUCUACUCUCAAUAUUGGAGCGUCCAAAUCGAAGAUUCACACUAUUGGGAACAAUCUAUACCAUUAAAAAUGCCUACAAACUAAAAAUUANNNNNNNNNNNNNNNNNNNNNNNNNNUAUAUAUAUAUAUAUAUAUAUAUAUAUAUAUACAUAUAUAUAUAUAUAUACAUAUAUAUAUAUAUACAUAUAUAUAUAUACAUAUAUAUAUACAUAUAUAUAUAUAUAUACAUAUAUAUAUAUAUAUAUAUCAAGGUCGGAGAAACUGGUACUGGGCACCGUACUGGUUCUCUGUUGGGAUGACUUGGUAUGGGCCAUGCCGGGCUAGUACCGAGAGAGGGCACGACACUGGGAGAGAGGAAGAGAGAGAGAGAGAAAGCAGGGGAGGGAGGCCGGCGGAGGCCGCGGCAGGCGAUGCCGCUGUUGUUCCUCUUUUUCGAACGAAACAGGGGUCUGGCCGUGGCUAAAAUAUUUUGCGAUUUUUAAAUGAAGUUAGCAAGAGAUUUACCAACUUUUCUUAAAAAUCGCAAUUUUUUUUAAUUUUGGAAUUCUUAAGUGAAAUCAACAAGCGAUUUGCCGACUUCACUUAAAACUUUCAAAAUUUUUUAGCCGCGGCCUGACCUUGUUUCGUUCGAAACAGAAGAACCGGCCGUGGCCUUGGCUGCUGCGGCCCCUCGCAGCCCUCCACCAGUGUUCGCCACCUCUCCUUCUCCCUCCCUCCCUUGGUUGCUCUCUCUUUCCUUCUUCUUCGGCUCCAACAAGCGUAUCGUUUUUACAAUCGGAACUGUAUCAGUGAGCCACUGGGACGGCUCGGAAUGGGUGGAACCGCCUGGUUCGGGAUGGUUCCGCCGACCUUAUAUAUGUAUGUAUAUAUACGUAUGUACAUACAUACAUAUAUACUAGCAAUAGGACAUGUGCAAUGCAUGUUUGUUAGAAGAAAGGAGGGAGGGAGGGGGAGGAGAGAGAGAGAGUGAUCGAGUUCAAUAUGUUUAGGAGUUGAAUUUGAUAGCCAAUUUGUUUGAGGGUCGAAUUAAAAAGAGAGAUAGAGCCCAAUUUAUUUGAGAGUUAAAAAAGGUUAUUAGGAAAGGUGAAGAAAGUAUCUGUGGUAGUUGAUGUUGAGAAAGUCAAUUAGGUAAGUAACAUAUUCUUAAGAUACAUAAGAAGGGUAUUCUUGGUAGAAAAUUUGACAGUCAUAAUCUAGAGAGAAUAAUCCUUGAUUUCGAAACUCGUAUAUAUGUGUGCGUGCAUGCACGUCUGUCUGUGUAUGUGUACUUAUGUAUACAUAUAUGCUACAUACAUACAUAUGUAUUAAUAUGUAUGUAUAUGUACAUGUAAGUAUGUAUAUGUGUGUGUAUGUCUCCAUUAAAAAGGUCAACAUUCAUUUAGAAAAAUCUCUCCGUUGUACACCUCAUUAUCUAGGAAGUACUUUGAGUAUUAGGGAAGUAUUCAGAUCCUUUUUUUAAUAUUAUUAAAGUAAAAAGGAUACUGAAGUACUAACACAUAUGCCUAGACAUCCUUGACUAGUAUUGGUAUAUGAUCAAAUACAAAUACAGAAUCCAAUUUGAAGUAUCCACGCCUCCUAGCUAUUAGGUUAAAUGCUUGCAGAAAAUGGAAUAAUUCAUCACUAAAUUACGACUGUAUAUUCCAACCAAUGUUUGUUCCCUAAAAGUGUUAGGAUUUGGCCAGGGCCCAAGGACUAUGAAAUAUCACUCAUAUGUCUUGAAGUGUUCUUUCUAAUGAGUAUAAAUUGGCUGCAAUGUAAAAAAGAAGCAAGGAGUUACAGCAUCCAUUAGCUUGCUGGUUUCUUGUUGACCACAGCAAAUCCUGCCUGUUGGAUAUGAUUGAUCUUAGAAUCUAUACUACAUCAAAUGUUUUCUACAGAUAUAUCACUAAGAGCACUAAGUGGAUUCUUGAGAUUGAGAAGAAAGGCAUGCAUUAAUUCCCAGAACAACCCUAGAAAUACAAUUAGGUCCAUUUCCAUGUGUCAAUGGGCAAUAGUUGGAGUUUGGAACAAAUUGGUGAUAUUAAAUUCGAAAUGAGGGAAAGGAAUUUGGUGACCCUAAUAAAGAGGGCUAAUGCUUGCGCUUAAAAUAAAGGUGAAUAUGGAAUUCAUAAAGUUGGUAAAGAAUCCCUGAAAUAACUGGUGGUCCUCUUGGAAAGACAUGUAAGUCCAUUUGAAACUUGCUGCAAUACCUGGUAUUAUAAUAUGGAACUACAAGCUUUGAAAGAGAAGUUGACGCUUAAGCAUUUGACUAUGUAUUGAUUUGAGAGCCAUAUUUGCCUAGCCAUUCAGAAGUUAGCAACAUUAGGAUGGCAAGGGAGACACUGAUUUUGAUAACUAGGAGGAGAUUUUGUGAUCAAUCAAUUCUACAUGCAAGCUUACAAUGCUCAGAACAGUUCUGAAUGACUUGAAAGUUAGCUUGAAGUUCUAUAAGGUACGAUAUUUUUGCCAAAUUUAGCAGGAUGAACCCACACAUCAAGACCCAUACAAAAUCACCAUAUAAACUUCUGCUUAUGUAGAAAAUCAAAGGGAGAAGGAAGAUGGUUUGAAUUGUCAAGAAACCACUAGAACUCAAAAUCUUAAGUGGAUAGGGAAAAGGUCAGCAAUGUAAAUCAUGCCUAACUCCCCAUCCCCACCUUAACAUGCAGCCCUCACCAUGAAUGUUGGGGCAUAAUUGAGUCAAGACAGAGAAAGAUGGGCAUAACAGACAACCAGGGAGAAUUACAUAAAUAACCAAACUCAAGGGAAUUCAAAUCCAUGACUUCCAGCAAAACCUGACCUCUGCCACCAUUUUAAUGAACGAUUAGUUCCCAAAAGCUUAAACUGAUAGGAAAAGGAUCAACAAUGUUUAUAAGUCUUGACCGAAACAAAGAAAAAGAAAGUUCAAGGAGGCACAUAUUAUCCCCUCGAUUCCACCCAGAAAAAGGACUAGUAACUGACCAAUUAUAUUAUUGCUGCAAAUUCUAGAUAUCCAGAGGAGGGAAAUAUGGAGAUCAGGUAGAGAGGCAUUUUGAAAGGAACCAAAGUAAAUCAUCUCGAUUGUGGUCGAAAAUGGUGGCAUUAAUUGAUGGCAGAUCCCACUGAAGAUAUGUAACUAAUUGUCAUAAGUUAAGGCUAUGUCCAAGUUUUCCUAAUUGUCGGUAUAACUCCUAUGCUGGUUUAGCUGGAGGAAAUGUCAUAACUAUCCUUUGCUUGCAGUAUUCACAUGGGACCCGAUUGCCUAAUUUACUGCAUGACUCCACUUGGGAGGCUACGAAGAAACCCCCAGGUGCUAAUUUUAUCAGGCUAACAUUUUUAAUGAUGACUGCUGUUCUAUAUCUGAAACUGAUAAUCUUUAAGCAGGUUUAUUCUGGCAGGGGUUUCGGUGUUACUCCAUAUUGUAUUCCAUAUGUACUAUAGCACAUAUUUGCUUGCAUCAUUUAAGGGCGUGUGUUAUACUGAUUCAUGCUGAUGUGUGUUAUGUCAUAUCAGUCAUUGUAUCAUAUGAUACAUGGUUAUAAAGGCCAACACGGGAUGGCAUCUGGAUGAACUUCACAUAGAUGCAGUUGAUGCUACCCAAGUUGAAUAUUUAAUUCUUCUUUCUCUUGUCCUGUUGUUCAUGUUUUCGAUACCUAUGUCUAGCACUCGUCUAUUAGAAACCACAAUGCAGCUUUAGUAUAUCCUAGUGAUGGAUUUGUUUAAAGUGGUCUCUCUAUCCCAUGAAAAGCCAGUAAUGUAACCUUAAUGCACAAGAGAAAUGUUUCCACCAAGUCAUUUAGCAUCUCUGGUAUCUUUUAGUGGUGCCAUGUUUUUGUAUUAUUGGCACCAUAUUGUAUGGUAUGCAUGCUUUAUUGGUCCCUAACUGGCAUGGGAUAAUAUAAAAUAUUUUCUUAGUUCUCCAAAACCAAGCAGUAUGCUGGAAGGACUCCUGUAGGGCCAGGACAAUUUUUGGUGCAUGUCUAAUGCACAAUUGAUUUUACAGAAGAUAUCUUUGAAGUUGGUGCAACAGCCUAGGAAAGAGAUUGGAAUCUCUAUCAUGUAACUGAAGAGCAACUGCUCGAAACUUUCAAGUUUGCACAUAUGCAUUACUAAUGGUGCAGCACGAUAAACAUUUAUGAUAGGAUGUAAUGAUCUGUUAAAACGUGAAAUCAUUGAUGUAUCAGGAUGUUUACUGUAUGUAGUACAGAGUCUAAAAUAUGGUAUAAUCCAAGCCAUCCUGAAGUUUUCUACCAAGAUCUGCUUAAAUCUGUGUGCAUAACAUUUAAGCAUGCAAUUUUUGGUAUAGUAGUCUGAGCAUGAUCAUUUGCCACUUUAUUGUGGUGAAUGUGUAUCCAACAAUGUCGCCAAUUAUGUAAUCUGAAGAUCGUCGAGUAAAAUGUUUUGAGCCAUGCAAACAGACAAGCUUUUCUUGCUUCUGGGUGUUGAAUUGAUUGGUAUUUUGCAUGGCAUGUGCUGCCCUUGGUUCUUAACUCGAAAGGAUGUAUUCAUUUUUGGACAUGUAUAUGCAUGUUCCUGUGAUUUUGAGCAAGGUUACCAUGCUAGAAUAAUCUGACUGGAUUGCUUUCUUUGCAGGGAUGGGUUGGCAGGAUGCUACCUGAAAUCCUGAAGUCCUGAAGCUGCUUCAUUAUCCUCAUCAACAUUGAGGGUGCCCAUCAAAUUAUAUUAUCUGUAUAUGAGUAAUUAUACGCUUUUAUCCUAAUGUUGUCUCUGAGAUUGAAUAUAGCAAUCUCUGCUACUUAAUGCUCAUAGGGAGGUAAAUGCUCUAUAUGCUCCUGUGCUUCUUCCCAGGUCGUUGACAAGGAGAUGGGCGUAAAGGAAAGUAAUUUCUCUAUUGUAUGGUAGUUUUUAAUGGCAUUGUAGAAUUCAGGUCACGUCUCUAUAAAUCGUUUAGAUUGUUAGUUUGGUAGAAUAAUUUAUGCCUGUAUGGUAUGCAAACUGAUCCAUUUCUAUAGUGGAAAUGAAGCGCAAACAAGCUGGACGACUUGCUGCUGUAUAGUAUGCGAUCUGAUCUAUACCAGAAAUCAUAAUUAGUUUGGUGGAAACAUCGAUCAUCAAGCGAUGCAAGCAGUUGAUAACUUGUCUUAAAGCAGGAGAAAUAUCAGAUUCCUGCAAGAAUUAGUAAGAUUGUUCGGUAUGUUCCACUAAAUUAGCUGACUCUGAUUGCAGGUUGAUUGUAUCUAGGUUAUCUUACCAGUGCUUGCUAUUCUGUUUCUGCUUUUGCUAUUCUGCUAUCUUACCAAUGCUUGCUGAUUCCGCAAGACCGUAAAGACCGAAAUUUCAGGUGGUCUUAAAAAUAGUUUUGUAUGAGUGCCUGUGAGGGUGGUUUGUUUUGUACUGCUCAUUUUCUUAUUUCUCUGAGUUCUUUUCUCUUACAAGCUCCCCCUUGCUCUUGCCCUCUCUCCAUUCUGUCAUCUUGCCCUUGACUAUAUCCAAAAACUCGUCCGUACUCAAUAUGGCCAUGCCUCUAAUGGUUCCAUCCUUCAUUACCUAGCUUCAAUAUUAUCUACUCAACAAAGAUGAUGGAGAAGUGCUAUCUGACUAUGCUUGUCGUUGAUGUCUUGUUCUUUGGGGGGCGAUUGUAGCCCUUGUGGCAAAGACAAAGGAGAAUAAGGAGGGCUUGAUGUUAUCCUCUAGGUUUGGGCGGGUGGGGGUUGCAAGAGAAGGGACUGGGGAUGGGUCAAGCACUUGGAGGGAGUACUGAAGCAGUAACAAUUGCUGAAGCUAGAGAGGCAAUGGAUGAAAUUCACUAAUAGGUUGGUGUGAAGGCUAGACCGAGAGGACUAGGGAUCUAGUCACGCUAGGUCAGGAUGAGUAUGUAGAAAAAGAAAGGUUUAACCUUAGGGGGCUGUAGGAGUGAUAGGUCAAGGAUAUGUGGGAGUAGAAGACAACCUAGUUUGCAGAAUUUCUAGGAUAAACUAAGCAUGACCAUAACAAGAUUUCUUAUCACAAUGGAUGCGAAUUGAGAUGUUUUAGAAUUUCCAGGAGAAUAUUUUUUUUAUAUAUAUUUUUACAAUAAUUUUGAAAGCAAGAAAAUAAAUAAAAUAAAUACUAAAAAUAAAUUAACUAUAAGGCUUGAAUCCAAACAAUACCUAGAAAGCUAGAGAUAAUGGAGAACUAGAAAGGCUAAAUCUGGACUAGUAAGAUUUAUCCACCAGAGUUGCAUUGAUCUUCUCUUGAGGCCUUGUGAUAAUGAAGAGUACAGGUUUGACCUUUUAACAUAAUUUUUGUUGCAUCUAAGCCAUGUUUGAUCAUCUCUUGAGGCCCUGUUUCACCUCAUCGAUGAUGUUUGAUCUUGUUUAUCCAUCCAUUACCUUGUCUCCAGCAAGGUUCGAUGAUGGCCCCAGGGAAGGUGGCGGACGACGGUAGAAACCCAAAGAACAAGAAGAAAGAAACUUUCAGGUGUGGCUAUAGGAGAGGGUGGCGGGGGUUGUUAAAUAGAUGGCGGAGGCUAGAUUUUCUGGCUUCCAUCGAAGACUGGAGAGGAGGAAGAGUCCUCCUCCUGCGCCGAUUUCUCUGAAAUUAGGCUUAUGGACCUUAUUUUCGUAUCAGGGUCAGGCCGAAAUUCUAGGCUGGUCAAUUGAAACUAGGCCCAGCUCAGAUUUUAGGUUGGUCUAUGAGCCAGGCCAUAUAGGAAGCUUUAAGAAGCAUUAACAAGAUGCCUCACACCUCACACCUCAAAUCCACUCAAUCCAAUCCAAAAAGAAACUCCAGACUCCACACUUCUAGCUAUCGAGAUGAGUGCAUAGCACAUGCCUCAUGCUGGGGUCUAAUCUGAAUCGGUAGUCAGAAAACUAUAGCUUUUCUCAAACCUUCAAAUGCAACUGCUUGAAAAGAAAAUUUUACUACUGGUGGGUCCCCAGACCAAGUACACUUUUGUCUCCCAUGAGGUAGCAGCUCCAACGAUGAUCCAAUCAAUCUCAAUUGCUUGGCUAGCAAGUCUGGGUUUUCAGUGGAACACUUGGAAAGACUCAAGGGAAUCUUGGUACGGAGUUUAAAGACAAAGGCACAAUUCCAGUGGGUCCAAAAUUAAGAACAAAUUUGUUUCUCACUUGAUGGCAGCAUUGCAGUGCACCAAUCAAGUUCCAUUGCUUCGUGAGCAAGGUGGCUUGGAACUUUAGUGCGGAACUUAGGGAGGACCCGGGGGGGAAUCCUGGUACGGAGUCCACGGAGAUAAAGCACGCCGGGACUGAUCUCACCCUGCUCUCCUAAAAUUUGAUGUGCAUUGCACGAGCGCUCUUGUUGCACGCUCGAAUACAAUUUCGCUGAGGUCAGAUGUAGUUUACGAAGAGACCUUGAGAUUUGUAUAAAAAAAAAAGAGACCUUGAGAUUAUCCCCUCGAGAAAAAAUAAAAAAAGGCUUUGAGAUUAUUGCAUGGCUAUCUAGAUCAGUACUACAUGAUAGGUGGAUAAAUAGGUCUGUUUGAGAUCACACCAAAAUAGAAAUUAUAUUCAAAAAGUGUUCUAUGAAACAAAUAACUGGAUAUGUAUGAUCUCCAACGAUACAUUAUUAUCAAAACUGAAAAUAUAAAAUAUUUAUUGUUUAUAGAGUGUAAAUAUAAUGAUAUUGCCUGUAAAUAUAUUGUUUAUAGAGUGUGCCUAUAUACAUUAUAUCUGAUAAUUGCUUAUAUGUUCUAGUUAACUAAAUCAGUAAAGUUUUGAUCUUACUUUUUGUACAUCUAGAUGAUUAACUUGCCUAUACUUUUUAAAAUGCUAGAAAAAAGUUUUUCUUAGCAGAUGUUCUUUUCUUUUGUAUUUAGAAUUUUUCUUAGCAGAUGAUUAACUUGCCUGUAAACUAAAGUAGCAUUAGAAUUUGUUAUCCACUUCUACAAUGCAUGCAAAAAUCAAUUAGCAGAUGUUCUUUUCUUUUGUAUUUAGAAUUUUCUUUUAACAUAUAAGAUUUGAUGAAAUGAAUCAAGGCUUGCAAGUUAAAGCAAAAAUUUAUCUCUAUGUGGUGCUUUAAUUUAUUGCCAACACCAAAAAAAAAAGAGAAAAAAAUGACCAACAUGUUUAAAGAUGGUCAAACUUGAUAUCAAUAUGCUCAACAGAGUUAGAAUUAUAUAUUAUGCAGCUAUCAAUUUAUUAAAUUGAAACUAAGGAUUCAGAUGCCGCUCUAUGCUGAAUGUGUUAUACUAUGCUAGGUCGGUGCUUGCACGGCACAUUCAUCUGUGCUAUGAUACUUUGUGCAUCGCAACCUAUCGUGAUCUUGUUUUUUUAUUAAUUUAUUUUUAUUGAAGAACUUUAAAGAGCUAGAAUACUGGUUUCUUUUAUAAUUCCACAAAAAUUACUGCCUCAGUGCCCUUUAGUUGUUUUUCUAUGCAUAAUUCCUAUAUAAAAAUCUUUAUGAAAGCUAGCCACUUAAAUUGUAUGGCUAUCAGGAAUCCUUUUGGCACUCAAUGAUUUCUUAGAUUCCUGAUCCGCCUCAAAUAUAUCCAAAAAAGAUAUCAUAUUAAGCUGUCAAGCUUAUGAUACUUCAAAAUAAUCACAUCUCUUAUGAGUUAUGACUGCGUCUUCCAUUUUGUAUGUUGGAAGCAAACUUCUUAUUUUUUGCAAGAUUGAUAGAUUGUCUCCAUAAGAGAUGCCUCAUCAAAGCUGACCUCCUCCUUGCUCUCACUCUGCUUCCUUGCCCGAACCUGCGAACCACCGAUGCCUGCCUCAUCCUCACGGUCUUCACUGCCAUACAUUGGGAGUCAUGGUGCAAGAUUGACUUCUUCAUAGAAGUGGUCUUCCAACCUAGAGAGGUGUAAGAUAACAGGGGAAAUUUCUCUCUUAUUUCUUGGUGUCUGUCUUUUUCUGAUGUUUGAUGGCUUUAUAGCUUGAUUGCGGGACUCUCGAAGAUGCACUGAUAACUCAUUGCCAGCCAAACAAAAACAAGAAUGUUCGGUCUUGGAUACCUAUUUCAAGAAGCAUGAAGAAAAGACUCACGGCUGAAUGUUAGAUAUGGAUUUAGAGUCAAUAGAAAGCAGAGCAUUUGAGAAACUAGUCAUGGACUCGUAAUCUACUAAUACUUGAGCAAUGAUUCCUAGCUCAUUUAGAAUCCCUUGUACCAUAAAACUGAGGAUAAGACUGUGAAUUAUUGUAACAAGAAUUUUGUAUCAUAAAACUCUUUCUAGAUCAAUAAAAUAUACUAGCCUUGAAUGCUUCUUGGCUCAGUCUUCAAGCUAGUUUUCGGGUCUUAUUUUUGUCAAACUAGCUUUAAUGCAUACCAGCUUUCUUUAAAGAGGGAUUUUGCGAAUAAUUUAAUGAUAUGAUUAUCUUUGUUUAAUUUGUUAUCAAGAAAUGUUCUAAUUUGAUUUCUCAAAAAUAUUAAGGACAUAUAUUACCAUAUAAGAAUUUGACAUGUUCAAGAAAGUUUUUGGGUAUUGACGAUAUUUUGAUACGUCACUGUAUGAAACAUUCACCCAACAUGCUGGUCCCAUGUUAGACUUUAUUACGUUGGACAAGCAUAGAUUAGAAUCUACGUUGGCAUGGCACGUUUAUUAUAGUAUAAACAAAACAAAUUACGAAGACUCUUCGUUGACUCCCAACCACUGUGAAUGAAUACUAUGUCGAAACACCACUUCACGAGACAGCCAUCACAACUCUCUCAUUGGUUGGACACCGGAGUCGAAGCCAUUGCUUCGAAGUGAAGCAUAGAAUCAGGAAUCCCCUCACCACCAGUUGCCAUUCACCGCGGCACUAUCGACUUGGCUUGAGCGAUGGAACCGUGUGGGCCCGCCGCUCGCUUCAUUGGGGGCUGCGGUUUUCGGAAACAUAAGCGAGCUUUAAAACCCUCAAGUCAUUGAUCUCUCUCUCCCCCGCUUCCCUCCGCGCCCAAGGCUGAAUCUUUCUUUUCGGGAAGUGGUGGUGGUUAGAAUCGUUAUUUCUUUAGAUAAAGAAGAGAUUUUUAAUUACAGUAGUUCGUUUAGAGAGCAAUCUUUGUUAAAUUCUGAUGGGUUGAUUCUUUCUCUCUCUCUAAUCUGUGCAGCAGCGACGGGAAAGACCUAGGAGCACUGGAAAUCAAGCAAUUCACAGUAAACAUUUUCUUUGUGAUUCUUUUUUUGAAUGAGUUCUGAUUCAUGCUUCAUUUUUCUUUGUUUAUUUGUUUUGGUAAACGCUUGAGAUGAUAUGACGAAGUUAACAUGGAAGGUGUUUGCUUGAAAUUAAGGGCUAUCAGGGAUUCAUGAACUAGCUUGAUAUUUGAUGGCUGCCAUAGUUCUUGUGCUUUUACUUUAUUUGUUUAUUUUUGUUAGAAAAAAGUGGGAUGUCCGAAGAAUUAUGUUUUAUUCUUUAAUCUUUUUUUUUUCUCAGCUUAGAUCAGUGUGGAUAUUUGAAAUGAUGUCUCAUUUUGUAGUCUUAAUAUGCUUCUAUAUCUUCUUUCACGUAGCUUAAAAGAUAUAUUGCUAACGGAUUAAGUAGUCUUGGAAUUCUUGUUUGAAUCUACAUGUGCUUCUAUAGUAAUCAUUAAGUUGGUUAUAGUGAUAAUAUGAUGCUGCGCGUUAUUAUAAAAUUUGUGAAGCUAGGUAAAGGAUUAGGCAAUUGUCACGUAAUGCCUGACCUUAGCCCCUUAGAGUAUCAUGCUUGAUGACUUUUUUUUUAAUUUUUUAAUGUGUUGGUGGCCUUUAGCUUCUUUUGUUUUCCUUGUUAUUUCAACAGAAGUAUUAUAAUCAAGUCUGAAAAUCUUCAAGGGGUUUUAAAUGGAUAUCAGUGAAAAUCAUUGCAGAUUGAUUCUCCUAGAUCACUUAUUUGUGAUUCUUUAGUAUGUCAUAGUUAGAAAAUAAGGGAAGUCUCUAUUUGCGUAAAAUGAUGUCUUGGUUAUAGCUGCUAGAAUGUUUGGAAUAUUUGUUAAGUUAUAUCUAUGGCACAUCUGACAGUUAGCUGAUCUUUCCAUAGUUUUCCGUGUUUUCUCCAUUUUGUUAGUUUCAGAAACUCUUAUUUAGUCUGAGUAACAUUAGCCUAUAUUCAACGAGAAAAAUAUUUCGUAGCUUGAAUAUAGAAAUUUCCUCGAACUUGAAAAUGAACAUUUCUUCUAUAUUCAACUUUUUUUGCCUAACAUCCCUCUUUUAGAUAUAACUUAGAAUUUUCAGCAAUAGUACUCUUUCAUCCACAUUUAAGUACUGAUCAGACAAGUUAUGAUGGAAAUUAAAGCAUAACCAUGUGAGCCUUUUCUUGGAGGUUCAAGUACUUACCGUUGUUGUGAUGCCAACCCUUUUUACCUAGUAAACUAUAUUCCAGCAAUUUAAAUGUUAACAUAAGGUUCUCUUAUGUCUACAGUAGUUCUGAAUUCAAGGGGUAUUGUUGCAUGUCAUACUACUUCAAGAAUGGGAAGCAAGACAAUUAAUAUCCAUGGAUUCCCUACAACUGCAACUGCCCCAAGUGUAAAAGAAUUUCUGGAGGUGCAUACAGGCAAGGGAACCAUAUAUGCACUUAAGUUUAGACUUCCCAAAUAUGUUACAGCAAAAUCAAGAGCAUAUGCAAUAGUUCAGUUUAUAGCGAACAAACAUGCUGAGUCUAUAGCAUGUAAGCGCCUUGUGUGGGUUGAUGGUUUUGUGUUGAAGGUUCGACAUAUGGAACGUGACAUUGUCCCUAAGCCGAGGACCUCUUUAUUUGUUCUUGAAAAUACGACAGUGCAUUUUGGCUCCCCAGUUUCACAAAACAAGUUCUCUGUCCUCUGGUCUCCAAAGGAUGUCAGAGUUAAUUUUGGUUUCAGUAUGAGAAAAAUAUACUUUUUCCUAGUGCAGGGAAGCCAUUCGUAUAAAUUUGAACUUGCUUAUGAGAGCAUAUGGGAAAUACAGCUGCACCACUCAUCUACUAAAUAUUUGCAGUUUCUCUUGAUUCAGGUUUGCUUCUGUGAACCAUUUUUACAUUUUUUAACUCUUUUUACCUUAUUUUACUUAAUAGUGGAGAUGCUUCAGAACUAAGUUAUAAUAGUGCUAAUGCCAUGGAUAAAUACAUAUAUACAUUCUUACAUGGAUGGAUAAUAUGUUUAUAUCAUUAUUGCCUGAGCUCUAACCUUACCAUCUCUGUAUAUUUGUUAGCUGCUUGUAAUUUGUGGCUCUUUCAUCGGUAAAACUGCGAUACAUUUUUGAAGUUUUGUAAUGAUAAAUCAUGAAUGUUUUUCCUAUUUCAGUCUAUAAAGCAAAAUAAGAAUGCCAUCAUGGGAGCUUUUCUUCCCUUUAUUAAUCUUAAGAAUUAGAACUUUCAUUUGCGUAUUAUACAUGCUUCCAUGCAUGUGUUCGUAUCUUUAUGUACUUGUGUGCAUGCAUGUGGAUGGAUUGUUAAUGCAUGCAUAUGUGUGUAUUUACAUAUAUAUGUCAACUAUCUGCUAUCCCCCAAAAGUUUAAGCUGUUAGGGAAGGGGUCGACAAUGUAUAUCUGGCUUUAAUACGUACAUACAACAUAUAAACACAUAUCCAUACAUACAAAUCGGCUUAUGGAUGAAAAUAUGUACAAACACCGCGUAUAUGCAUAUUGGCCAUGUGCAUAAUUAUGUUUUGGAUAGGAGAUGUUUACAAACACCAUUGAUUGCCUAAAUACCAUUUUUUGAUUAAAUUAAGGAAAAGGGAGUGUGCCCAAAAAGGCGACCAUGUAGGCUAAUGCUGACACAUUUGGUGCCUGAUUAAAUUUCAAGGAUACCUUUUUUACCCUUAAGUGCUUGGUAGUCUAGGAAGUGUAUUAAGGUAAUCUAGGUAGUCUAUUGCCCAGUUCCUUUCCUGCCAUAUCCUGGUUUUUGUAAGCUGGACUACUGAAUCAACUGCUAAAUCAAGUUCAACAGCUACACCUAUUGACUCCUACCUUUUUCCCUUCUGUUUUUUCCUCCUUUUUGAUGUGACAGUAAUCAAGGAUUAAGACUUCUCUUCUGCAACCGGAUUAAUGCACAUCUACACCAUGGCGUUGAUCAAUUAGAAUAUAAGUUCCCCAACCGCCAUGAGAAUUGACAUCUACGCCACCACCUCUAACCCGGCAAAAAACCCCUCAAUCUUGCUAUAAGGUCUGCUUUUUCAACUUUUUCCAUUGCUUAGGCAUCCUUAACGCUCUUACUGCCCUCAUUAAUGCCUCCAUUCACAGCCUUCUUACUAUGUUGAUCUAACAACACCUUGUUGUCCACAAUGACCCCAAUAAUGCUAUCAUUGGAGGUGGAGAAUGGGAUAGUUGGAGGUGUCCUGGAAUCCAAAGUAGAAAGGUGGAUGUCAAAGCUUCUGUUGAUAUGCGUCCACUAGGGAUGUAUGAAAAAGGAGCAUGGGUCUAGGUGCUGAUUUUGAUUGGUUGCAGGGGGCUGGGCAGUGUUGGCUAUGGGAGGUAAGUUGUAUAGGGUUGAGAUGGAUAAGCUGGGGCAUGGGGAGAGUGGGUGGCCCAAAGUGGGGGAGAGAGGAGGAUGGAGGAAUGAGGAAUGGAGGGCCUGAGCUUAGGAGACAUGGGAAAAAAAAGGGGCGACAUUUUGGAUCUUAGUAUUAGUUUUGUGAUAUUCCUCUAGCAUCCAGGGGUAAAGCCAUGGUAUGUUGUAUUGGCCUGAACCGGGUGGUACGGGGCAUACCGUACUGAUUCGGUAUCGGUACGCAUUACGGGUGGCGUACCAAUACUUGGUACACCAAAAAAAUUCUGCACUGUACCAUACCGAUAUGGUACCAGUGUGGCACCGAUAUCGGGUUCGAUAUCGAGACGGCGAACCUUGGGCAAAACAUUAUUAAACUUGGCCUAUGGAUUGUGUUUCAGCAUUUUGUGUAGCUAAAAGAUGUCCAGUAAUUGCUUCCAAAUCUCUCAAAAUUAGCCCUUGCUUCAUAGCAUAUAUGAGCAUGCCUGCAUGCGCUAAACCUUUUAGCAAAGGUGCCUUACCUGUUUCUUAUCUCCCUCUCCCUCUCACACACACAUACACUUCCUAAGUGCUUUGUAACUUUAUUUCUUUUGUGGUUCAUGUUCUUCUUUAUCUGCUCCUUUAUUUUUUUCUUCAAUUAUCUUUUCUUUUAGUUAGCAAUUGUACAGCUGUUCUAGUUAUACUGGUGUUUAUUUCUCUAAUUAGUACUCAGAAUAUAAUGUGGUUGGCUAUGAAUCCUUCUUUGUCUUUCUUAUAUUAUCCAUGUUUGUUUUCAUGGAAACCAAUGAUCUAAUCAGAAAUCCAGCAUCAGAAAUAGUAGGCCUCUGAUGCAGAUAUUUUGCCUUUUAGCCUUGUAGAGUACUUUAUGCCCCAAGCGUGAUGCCUCUUUUGUCUUUCUUUUUCUAUCUAAUUGUUAAUGUGGUUACUGAACUACAGGUGGUAGCUGCUCCCAAGGUUUAUGAACUGUCCCUUCGUAAUUCAGGUCUUCUGCAUGAAGAUCCAGAAUACAAUUACUUUAAAGACCUUCCAGAUGAUCAGUGGGUCAGGACGACAGAUUUCUCCCCAUUAUGUAGCAUUGGACAAUCUUCUGCUUUGUGUUUGCAGCUGUCGUAUGACUGUGAUCUUCCAAAUAUACGUGACUACUUUCCCUUUUAUAAGGAAUUUGAAGGUCGUUUUGACUUGGAGAGAGGCUCUUCCUACUCUCGCAGCUUGGAUCUAGUCCCCAUUGUGGAACCUCGCCCAAGGAUUGAGGUUCCAUAUAAAAUUCUCUUCAAGAUUAAUCAUAUGGUUCAGAAUGGGACACUCUUUGGGCCCACCCUUGAUGGAAAAUUUUUUGGGCUGGUCAGUCCUCAGUUUAUCCGUAUCGAUUAUAUAGAAUGCGCCAUAGAAGAGAUGUAUCAUUCAAAAAGCUCCUUCUUUGAUCCAGCAAAUUGGCUCACUAAAAAGUACUUGAAACUUAAAAGAUCCCUCCGCCUUCCAAAAUCACCUAGCAUAUCUUUGGAUGCUGGCUUGGUUUAUGUUUACAGGGUGCAAGUGACCCCUUCCAAAGUAUACUUUUAUGGACCCGAGGUUAAUGUGUCCAAUCGUGUGGUGCGCCAUUUUUCUGAAGAUAUAGAAAAUUUCGUUCGAGUUUCUUUUGUUGACGAGGAUUGGGAAAAGAUGCAUUCAACAGAUUUGUCAUCCCGAUCUGGUUCUGCAGGAAAUGAAAUGCAUACUGCCCUUUACAGGAGAAUACUGUCAGUACUGAGAAAUGGCAUAACUAUUGGUGAUAAGAAGUUUGAAUUUCUUGCUUUCUCAUCUAGUCAGUUACGGGAAAAUUCUGCAUGGAUGUUUGCUUCGAAUGAAAGAUUAACUGCAGCUGCUAUCAGAAAGUGGAUGGGCGAUUUCCAUGAGAUAAGAAAUGUGGCUAAAUAUGCUGCUAGGCUUGGUCAGUCUUUUAGUUCUUCUACUGAAACUUUAACUGUUGACAAGCAUGACGUUGAUGAUAUUCCUGAUGUAAGAUAUGGAAAAUAUGUUUUCUCUGAUGGUAUUGGGAAAAUAUCUGCUGAAUUUGCAAAGAGAGUGGCCAUAAAGUGUGGCUUAAAAAGUUCAACUCCAUCAGCCUUCCAAAUUAGAUAUGGUGGUUAUAAAGGUGUUGUUGCUGUUGAUCCAACCUCAUCGAAGAAGCUAUCCUUGCGAGAAAGCAUGCGCAAAUAUAAAUCAGAUAACACGAAACUGGAUGUCCUUGCAUACAGCAAGCAUCAGCCAUGUUUCCUCAACCGUCAGUUGAUCACUCUUCUUUCAACAUUGGGAGUUAGGGAUUGGAUUUUUGAAAUGAAGCAAGAAGAAGCUGUAAAUCAAUUGGAUAAGAUUUUAACUGAUCCAGUAAGGGCACAGGAAGCAAUCGAGCUUAUGCCCUCAGGAGAAACAACCAGUGUUCUUAAAGAAUUGCUAUUGUGUGGUUAUAAGCCUGACUCUGAACCUUUCCUUUCAAUGGUGCUCCAAACGUUUAGGGCAUCAAGGUUGUUGGAACUGAAAACGAAGUCAAGAAUAUUUAUUCCAAAAGGAAGAGCAAUGAUGGGGUGCUUGGAUGAAACUAAAAUCUUGGAAUAUGGGGAGGUAUUUGUUCAAGUUUCUUGUACUGGAAGAAUGCAGUUCCACAAUAAUGGUCUCUUUGUGUAUGGUGGAAGUGAAUCAGACCAUCAUACUGCUGUGCUGAAGGGGAAAGUCGUCGUUGCUAAAAACCCCUGCCUCCACCCUGGUGACAUCCGUGUUUUAUCUGCUGUUGAUGUUCCAGAUCUGCACCAUAUGGUUGACUGUGUUGUUUUUCCACAGAAGGGGAAAAGGUACACUAUGCUUAGAAUUUGCAUUUGGAGUUUGCUUUCAAUCUAUUAGCUAGUCUAAUCCAGAAAACCCUCUUCUAUAUCUAAUUUGCUUCAAACUUUUCCUCUGCUGGUUUGUGCUAAAGUUUUCUACCUUGAACUGCACAUGAGUGUAUGAUAGUAUCAAUAAUACGUACAGAUUUGUUGUGAUGAGAUUACAUAUCUUUACUAGUUUUUUAUUCUAAAUCUUCUUUUUAUGCACCAAAAAUGAUCCUUUCACAAUUUCCUAAUCGAUGUAUUGAGGAAAGAAAGCAUUACAACUAUAUUGCACUCAAAGAAACCAACCAUACUUGAUGGUAAGUUAUACUGUCGGUGAUAAUGAUAGCAUAAAAAAAAAGGGGAAUCAUUCACGUAUAUUAUGUGUGUAAUAAUAAAUGUUUUUGCUAGUUGGAACUUGUGGCAACCAGGAUGAAAAUGCUGCAAGAUUUUAUUCACGGAAGAUAUUUAUUCAAAUUCUUGCACUACCCAUCGACAAACUUACAGUUAGAAUUCAAAGAGAUGUAUAGUGGGUUAUGUUACUAGAAUAUGAAGUAGCGCUGGUUGAUGAAAGGAGGAUAAAAUAAAAUGUUAAAUGCAAUGGAGGAAUGCUUGGAGAUUAGAAACCAAAAAUAUUAACAAAAAACGCCUCAAUUAUAAUGGAAAUGAAAAGUCAAAAAUAAGAACCUGGUCAAAAUUGCUGGCAGUUAAAUUUCCUCGAAAUUAAUGGUAGGUAGAUAACAAUUUUAGACUUGCUUUGUUGUCUUGAAGCUGUCAUGCAAAAGAGAGAGAUGAAGACAUAUCUAGUGAAACUAACAAAUUGGAGAGGCUCAAUGAAAUUGAAGUGGAGCCGGAAGCAAAUGGCUUUAUAAUAGCAUGGUCUCACUCACCUGUGUGCAACAGGUAGGGUGGACAAAAUGACCUUGAAGACAUUAGUAAUACUAGACUCUAGCUGGAGAAGAUAUUGCCACUUCGCUAGAAGAGUGCCAUACCAAACAAAAGCAUAAUGGCACAGAAAAUCAGUGGAACAAGCAUAUAGUGAGGGUGCACCAAUUAGGAAAUAUGAACAUUUGUAGUUCUAGGAACCUGAGUUCCAAGUAGUCUUAGAAUUGGCAUAGACUUCAAAGUAUACGGUUUGAUACAUGACAAAGUUGUGUCAGAGUUAAACUAUGGAUAGCUUGUUUCAAAGUGAUUUAAAGGGAUGACGAUAUGAUUCUAUUUGCCCAAUCUUUAAGUCUUUUUGUGAGUUUUCUCUGGUGUAAUGUCAGGUUAUUUAUUUAUGUAAUGCUGGUGAAUCCUUUUCUAGUGCGAAGUAUGAUUUUUCAGGGGUUGGUGUGGUGGCCUCCUCCAAUGUGUGAAUCUCUCUAUCUUUCAGUAAGUCUUGAUUUCUAUCAUGAAGUGCUUGAAACAAUUAGUGCUUUAUCUAGUUACAGGAAAUUUGACGAACUAGUGUUGGAUAAUUACAAUACGGAAGUAAAUAUAUUAGUAAGGAACAUAGCCUCAUAAAUACAUAUAUUCUUGCAUGUGUAUGGAGACAUGUAUAUACAUAAAUAGAUACAUAAAAACUCGCAAACAAAAGCAAUUUGGCAAUACUCCUUGCACAUGUCCUUAUAAUACUCGACAUCCUGGUUUUCAGAAAUCCAUUGAUAUAAUUGCAUAUAAUUUAUACAAUAUAAUCAUGUACAAUUUACAGCUCUAAAAUGUGCAUUUGCUGUGUAUUUUGUACCACAUUGACAUUUCUGAGAAGUGGACUUGAAGCAGUUAAGAACAUGAGGAUCCUUGAAUGUUGCUUUUGAUUAAUUACUAGCGUAUUGGUUAUGAUUUAAUCAUAUUUCUUCUAAUAGGCUCAUGCUGAUCUUGUUUCAUGGUUUGAAUAAUUAUCUGUAUUUAUAUGUAUGUGUAAAGUUAUAACCCAUUUGGGGUGACCCAUGUGUAAUAUCAUUGUUAUCAGCUGCUCCCUACUAUAGUCUGGAUAAUAAACUAUUUGUGUAUUAUUUUCUUCUUUCUUCAUUUAUUUGUAAUUCGUAUUCAUUUAUUUGAUCCAAAUAUUUCAGAGCAUGCAGCCAGUCACAUUAUAGAGUUCUAGCCUCAUCCUUAUUAUUAAGUCUUCUACGUUGAAAUCUUUAGUUUCAUAUAAUUAAUAGUUUCCUGUUGAUAAUAUGAACCUUGCAGGUUUUGAUUUAUUAUUAAACAACUAGUGCCAAAGGACGGUCUCGAAGAUACAUAAGGGGAUCUUUACAUGACUUUGAUCUUAAAGCUACUUUCAUCAACAGUGCAUUAUCACUAAAAGUAUAGGUUACUUAGAUUUUCAUAUUAGAUGAUGUUGACAAAAUUUAUCUUCCCAGAUUGAGGGUUUUCAUUUAUUGAUUAUUUAGAUAUUCUGUUAUGCAUGUACAUGCUUCCAUUUUCUUCUUUUGCAACUCUUGCUAAUUUAAUAUCUCAUAGAACUUACAGAUUUGUGACCUGGGUGUCACCGGUUAGAAGUUAGAAGCACGGAAUCAGCCUCGCCUCUCAUGGGGGGAAGAUUGUGUACCCUAGACCCCACAAUGGUGGGAGCUUCAUGCAUGGGGCUGCCCUCUUAUAGAACUUUCAGAUUUCACAGUUGAUAGUUUAUAUGCACAAUAUAUACUUAAUGCAUGCUAUUUGGAUCCUUCUGAUUAACUGGCACAUGCAAAAGGUUUUUCUGAGUACAAAUAAUCAUAGCAUUUCUUGAUUUUGUUUGCUGUUAUUUUCAGGCCCCACCCAAAUGAGUGUUCAGGGAGUGACUUGGAUGGGGAUAUAUACUUUGUGAGUUGGGAUGCUGAUCUCAUUCCUCCUCGUGAAGUCACACCUAUGGAUUACACUUCAGCACCAAGUGAGAUCUUAGAUCAUGAUGUGACAAUUGAGGUAAUACUUUCUAGUCGUAAACAUUCUUGCAAAUAUUCAACUUUCUUUGUACCAAAAAAGUAUUGCAACUUUCUAAUAGUUCUCCAUUUUAUCAUUUGAUCUUUUGUUUUCUUAGUGUCUCUUGAAUUAUAUCUAAAACUGUUUAUGCAGGGGAAUAAAAAGAGCAUGUAUUCAAUAUAUAUGGAAAUAGCUGAACUACCAAAUAACUAAUCCAAGAUUGUGGUUUUUCCCAGCUUAAUUGUAUGGAAUACUUCUAAUAUUUGUUUCCCUUCCUUGGGAAUACUUCUAAUACUUUCCUGCUCACCUCUUUCCUUUCAAUGUAGUGGAGUCCUUAUUCUAGGUAGCUUCUUGUAUAAACCAUCAAAUGCUGUUAAUUGCAGUACCGCCUGAUUUUUGGACUUCUAAUGUAGAUUAACAUACUUAGGCACUCUUCAACAAAGAGGAAAAAAGGAAAGAUCGACUGAUGUUGCCUGCAUGCACUAAGUACCCCAUGAAGCAGUUCCAUAUUCCAUCUUGCUUGGAAGCUUACAAGAAAAAAAAGAUAAUCUCAGAUUAAUCCAAGGGACUUUCCCUUUUGCCUUUAUUUCUUGUCAUCAAAUGAAUAGUGUUGGCAGAUAUAUGCAUUUACUUUAUAUAUUAAAACGGUGAACCUAAAUGGUACAUAUUAUUUCUGUUGCAUCAGCUAUUUGAUUAUUCACCAAUCUUCUGACUAUAUGUCUUUCUUAUCUCGUGAUGAUAAAGCACUUCUUGCCUCUUUAACAUUUAUUUUCAAGAUGUAAACAAGGUGAAAUUCCAUAUCAUGUUAAUAUGAAAUGCUUUAUGUCAGUUAAAGUUAAAUUAGUCAACAUCCGGGGCAAUUUACCUGCCUUUUCUAGUCUUUGUUUUUUCUUUAUUUUUUGAGAACAAUGGUGGGAGGCUGGGAGCACUACCAGUCCAGAACUACCAUGUUGAUCACUUGGGAAAAUACCUCAACACCAGAAAAUGGAAUCUUCUCCCAGUGGAAGAGGGAUUCAGCAUCUACAGUAUUGCUUUUUCUUGUUCUCCAACGGUCAUCUUUCUGGACAUAUAUGUAGCAUCAAUAUGGAGACAUCUCCAGUAUUUUUGCUGGCCAUGCAUAAUUAGGGAGAAAAAACAGUUGAUUCCUAUGCAAAUAUUUUGAAACUUGUUAUCAUAGAAUACAUUAUUGCUAAUAAUGUGUAUGCUGAUGUGAUAUAGGAAGUGAUGGAGUACUUCACCGAUUAUAUAGUCAAUGACAGCCUCGGAAUUAUCGCAAACGCCCACACAGUCUUUGCGGAUAAGGAGCCACGCAAAGCUGAGAGUGAGUCCUGCAUAGAGCUUGCAAGACUCUUUUCUAUUGCUGUUGACUUCCCAAAGACAGGAGUGCCUGCUGAAAUCCCUACUCAUUUACAUGUCAAAGAGUAUCCUGACUUCAUGGAAAAACUUGACAAAGUUACCUAUGAGUCGAAGGGAGUAAUAGGAAAGCUCUUCAGAGCAAUCAAAGACCACACAUCCCAUUUGGGCCAGAUAAAGGCAUUUACAAAGGAGAUGGCUAUGAAAUCGUAUGACCCUGACAUGGAAGUUGAUGGCUUCAAGGAGUACCUUGAUGAAGCUUUUUGGUUCAAGGGGGAAUAUGAUUUUAAGUUGGGGAACCUGUUGGAACAUUAUGGAAUAAAAACUGAGGCUGAGAUCCUUAGUGGGAGUAUAAUGAAGAUGUCAAAGACCUUCACUAAGUACAAGGAUGGUGAGGCAAUUGGAUUGGCACUUAGGUCAUUGAGGAAAGAAGCUAGAGCAUGGUUCGAUGAGAAGCGCAUCGAUUGUGAGGAUGAAGAUGAUGUCUACGCUAAGGCAUCUGCUUGGUAUCAUGUGACGUACCACCCAGACUACUGGGGUUGCUAUAAUGAAGGCUUGAACAGGCCUCAUUUCCUGAGCUUUCCAUGGUGUGUCUAUGACAAGUUGACACUUAUCAAGAAAAAGAAGAUAAGCAUGCGGAAGUAUGAAACUGAGUUAUUCUCACUACAUCAUCAAGUCAAGAGGAGCCUGCGAAUGAGCUGAGAAAUCAUGAACGUGAUUUCGUGGUUUCGGCUGGAAAGAAAGCUUUCUGCAUAGAGCGCUGUUGCACUGAAUAACAACUGAAUGUUAGCUGUUUCAUUUUUGUGAUAUUUGACAUGCUUUGUGGUGGUCUAUUUCAAUCUAUUACAAAUAUGUAUAUAUUAGUUGCACCAUAUAUAUGAAUUGGCUUUUGCUCCCAAAAAUAUAUUUGUGAAUUUUCUUCUUCAGCAAAUAUGGCUGUUGGUUAAGACCAUUCAUCUUUACUCUUUCCUGGAGAAAUGAAUGGACGCUUUUCUUAUUUGCAGCUUCCUUUUCUAUUCUUACAACACUUUGUAUGAAAGAAUUUCUUUGCUUUUAACAUCCCCUUUUCUGCAUUGAAGGAAUCACAGCGAACAGGACAUCUGUUGGUUUCAGCAUAUGCUUACCUGAAAGUUUAAGAAUUACUCAGCUUGGGGAAAAAACGUUCGAAAUUCAGAGAGUGCAGAAAAUUUUCCAAAAGAUCAUCAAGAAUCUGGGGAAUAAAUAAGUACAUAAACAAAGGUAUGUCAUGUUUUUGAUAGAUCAAUUAUUGGUUCAUUCAAAUUUUAACAGGCUAGAAUACUGGUGCAGCAAUGACAAUGCGCAUGUCAGCGAUAUAUAACGUUAUAAUCUGUAAUCCAUAAUCUUCUUGAUAAAUCAUGAAUAAUCACCGGUAGUGAAUCUCUUUUCCAUGGAUAACUAGGCAUUGCAACUAUCGAUAAUGAUCCAUAGUCUAUAAUCUUGUUCAUGAAUCAUGAAUUAUUCACCCAUAGUGGACCUAUUGGACUGAGUAGCUUGGUUGCUCGGGAAUAUUUCAAGGACAACUUCUGCAAUUAUUGUGGUACUUGGAACAUUUUGUUAUUAUGCCCUCUUCAAGAUUGGAUGGCAUCUUCCUAAUGGAUGAACUUCAUGAUAUGGUUGUUAUUUUGCUAAUUCUUUGUGGUAGCAGGCAGGCAGUUCUCACGCACUUGAAAGCCUUAUUACUUUGGAGACAGGGCUCCCAGACGAAGGAGAAAAGGCACAGUUACCCUCCCUCAGAAGCACACCACGAUCAUCAGCUCUUACCAAUCAGCAGGUUUGUUCUCCUCCUUGAAGAUAUGAAAAACAGAGAUUUAUGAGGAGGAAAGCAAGUUAAAGCAUGUCCCUCGUAUAGUUGAGCACUCUGAGAGUUGAGUUUAUAGUGUAUGUAUUGACAAAAGGGACAGUUGAAUUUCUAUAUGUGACCUGUAUUUACCAUGGAAAAUACUUCCCUACAUCCAAGACUACUGGUGAGAACAAUUUCUUCUUCCUUUUUCUCUUGAAAAUGAGAGAGGCUGACCUGAUGGAAAUUGAUGGAGAUACUUCAGAUGCAGCAAUAUUGAUUACUUACACCCAAGAAUAACCAUUUACAGUGUCACACCAUAGACCUGCCACCUGAAUUGAUGCGUGACAUGACCACAUAUUUCAUAGAGUAUAAUUCUAGAAAACAUGCGAGGCCUACUGGAUGAAUAAAAAUUAUUAUAAAUAACUCACUAUUUCUAGAAUACAAUAAUUAGCUCCAAUAUAGUUAAAUAAUGAGAACAACACCAAUACAAUUUUUGAACAUCUAGUAGUACGAGAAAUAUUUAUUUCCUUCCAACUCUCUCUAGUGAACCCCAAUUUCAGUCGAGUGCUAAAUGUCCCGUGGAUCUAAAAAGAGAGUUAAAAUACUUGCAUGAGCUAAAUAGCUUAGUAAGAGUGUUCACUGCAUACAAAUAUAAUGUAACACCCAGCCUAGGUAAUAAGAAAUUGGAUCAAGUCCACUUGACUAGCCCAUAUAUAAAAGUUGGAGUAGAAGAUGGAAAAAAAAAUGAUAUAGCCUUAUUCGAUGUAGAAUAGGAGAUGAAAAAAGGAUAGAAGCAUGUUUGACUUGGAGUAGGAGACGGACUCUUCCUCCAUCCCGAUUUUUUAUGAGAGCUAGAAAGCCUAACCUUCAGUGGCUAUUUAAAGAUCCCCAAACUCCCUUUUAUUUCCCUACUGACAGGUUUUGUUGGUCGCCACCGUUUAACCACCACGGGUUUCUUUCUCUUUCUCCUAUAGGCAUCCAAUGGUCUUGGUUUAUAGUGCUCACCGGAGAUUUCAAUCGAGAGCUCGUCGGAGUUUUAGGUUCUCAAAACGAACUCUCUCCUUCUCCUCUUCUCUCUUCCCUUUUCUCUCUCCUCUUCUCUCUUUCACUCUUUUUCACCAUUCUUCCUUUAUCUAGAAAUCCUACGGACCUAUGGAAGUCUAGACGUCUUGAUGGGCCUAUAUAACCUUUGACUUUAGGAGGCAUACCUGGUCUUCUAGAUCUGCGUUAUGUGGCCCUAGGAGGGUUCUAGGUUGGUGUUAUGCAAAUUUAGAAGAAGAUUUGGGCUAACCUUAUUAUGAUCAUCUACCAUAAUCUAUGGACGGUUAUGAUUAUUCUAAUGAUGAGAUCUGACCCUGUAGGUGAGCAAUCAUCGAGGCAAGAAGGUGUUGAGAAAAAUACUUUAGCCCCGAGUUCGUAGGUUAAGGAGUGGAUCGGUAUUCGCUGUACUUAAGUCUAAGAAUUUCAAGACAUUAAUCACCUAUAUAUAAACUAUUUUGUGCAUUUGUGAUUUUUCUUUGUAUGGUAUGGUAUAUGAUGGUUGUGUAUUAUAUCUUUAUCUGUUAAGUAUAUGUCGAUUUUUAUAGACUUAUGUAUCAUAUAUUUUGGACUUCGAUGCAUGUGUACAUCAAAUUUUGUUAAAGUGUAUGAUCUGGAGUUAUAUUUACAUAAUGAGCAUGUAAUUGAAUUGUGAGUUGUUAUAUUCUAGACGAGCAACAUUGUUGAUGCCCGCCCUAGACCGAAAUAUGGUACUGUUGAUGUCCCGCCACGGGCUAGAAACGUAGUUGUGGUAGUCCAAAGCUGAGAACCUAUAUACCAUUAGAUUCAAUAGAUGCUAAUUUGAGAUAUUUAUUUGAUGCGAUUUAUUGUACUAAAAGAUGUGUGUUUGCUAUGCACGUUUUAUGGUUAUGGUAUUUUGUGGCAAGAAAUUUAUAUAAGUAAUAAUUAUUUGAUAAUCUCUUAUUGAUUGUUAUUAUUAUAAAGGUGUGGGUGUGUGGAAAUUCUUACUAGGCUAUAAAGCUCACACUACUUCUUUUCUUUUUCUUCUAAAAUUGCAGAAUGCUUAAUCUUGGAUGGGUCAGGCAUGGAGUUUAAGUGAUGGCAGUCUUUAGUUAGUUUAUUUUUUGCUGCCUAACAAACAGUCGAAUAUCUUUUAAUUGAACCAGAUCGAUUAUUUGAAUAUGGUGGAUUUAGUUAGUUGGAUUAUUUGGCUAUUAGCUAUAGAGCUAUUGGAUAUUUAUUUAUCUUAUGCCUUGUAUGAUCUCUAAGGCAUCGCUCUACGAUUCAUAUGGCCGUGUCACGUAGCCGACCCAAGUGAUGUGUUCGGGGUGUGACAUACUAGCAAUUGAAUGAUACAUAACGAUGAGCAUACUAUUAAAAUAAUAUUGAGGAAAACAUAGUAGUCAUGAUAUGUAUAUUCCAAAAUUAAUUAGUAUUCAAAAUUUGGAUCUACCAACCACUAGACGUAAUAUAUUAAUUAUAUGCCAUUAAUAGCAAUUUAUUAGUAUUUUUACUAGCAUCCAAGUAGCAAGGCAUGUGCUAGUGGUUUUUUUAGAAUUGCACAAUUAAAAUUUCUAAUUACCUCAUGGUUCGCACUAGCUAUGGCCAUGCUCCAGCUCUGGCAAAUUAUAGUGCUACAUUCCUUCCCAUUGCGAGGCCAUCAAUGCUAUUACGUUUCUAUAUAUAGCGAGGUAAUCUAUAGUAUCACAUUUCUGCACAUUUUUAUGUAGAUUUUUUUUUUUCAAAAUAUGCAACAGACUAAUUGGGUCGGAACUUAGGUCAGUCAUGAAUAGAGCCAACCCAUUUGCGACCCUAAUAUUGGCUUUAGGCUGUUUAUGUAGAUUAAUCCAAUUCCUUGCCAUCUCUUCCUAUUCUUCUCCAUCGAUGGGCAAUUUCAUCCGCUAACUCCGGCAGACCGGCGGACUCAUGAUACCGGCCUUUUGUCUCUAGUAUCUGUCUUCCCUGAGACCUGGUUCGAAUCCUAGCAGCCACAAAUUUCUCCUUGCUUGAACAGCACAAACGUAUCCUUUAUCCACCCAGUCUUCUCUCUCCAGCCUCUAGAAAUUCCAUGUUUCCACCCACAAACUUGGAGCAUCGACCAACGACCUCCAGGUGCUCCCCCCUCUUGCACCGUGCUCUCUCAGCGAAGAAACUGAUUUCCCUCCUCGUCCUUUGAGUAUCUUAUUCUUUACAGAGUGUGAUGAGGACACCAAUGCAUCAUGGACAUCAAAGGACAGGAGGAUGCUCUUAAGAUUUCUUUAGAUCUUUAUGCGAACAUCUUAGCUGGGUUGUUUUCCAUGUUUCACAUAUUUCUUCCUGAAAUCUGUGUUUGCCGUAGUUUUUCGAAUUCUGGAUUUUCUAGGAAACACUGGUUUUGAAUUUUUGAUAGAUAAAUCUGUUUUUUCUUUAGAAGACUGUCUGGUUAAAUUCCUCUUUUAUUAGAAUUGUUGCUCUCUAUUAUUGGGUUGAUGCAAAAAAAAAAAAUAGCAGCACAGUAGGCAUGACUUUCUUUCCUUUCUUAUUUCAGAAGUAGAAAAUAAAAAUUUUAUAUUUAUUUUCCAAAAGUAUAAACAUGUUUGGUGCAGCCAACUUUUUUUUUUUAAAAACAAACAAGUUGAUGGUGAUGGAGAUGGUGGGGACAAUGAUACAGUAGUAUAGUAGUGGUAGCGAUGAUGGUGGUGGCGAUGAUGAUGAUGAUAGUGGUGACAACAAUAGUAGUAGUUAUAAGGACACUAAUGAUAGUGAUGGCGGUACGAUGGAAGUAGCGAUGACAGAAAUAAUGGCAGCUAUGUUGGUGGUUGAGAUACUGGCUAUGUGCUUGAGAUAAUAACAAUAGUGGUAAUAGUAGUGGUGAGAGUGGUAGUGAUGGCGCUAGUGACCGUAAUGGAGGCAGAGUUAGUGGCAACGGUAAAUGCAAGAGCUUUUUAUUUUUAAAAUUAAUAAAAAUAAUACAAACUUCUUACUUUUAUUUUUCUAAAAAUAAUGAAAGUAAUUUUUAAAAAUAAAAAAUAAUAGCAGUAAUGAUAACAACAACAAUGAUAACGGCGGAGGUUAUGACGAUAAUGGAGGUAGAGUUAGCAGCAAUGGUAAAUGCAUGAGUUUCUUAUUUUUAAAACUACUAAAAAUAAUAAAAACUUCUUACUUUUAUUUUUUAAAAAUAAUAAAAGUAAUUUUUAAAAAUAAAAAAAUAAUAGCACCAAGCAAAUACUUUUCUUCCCGUAUUUAUAAUUUUGUUUAUAAAAAUAAAAAAUAAAAGUCAUGUCAAACAUUAUUAUUUUAUACGUUGAAAGUUGUUUCCGCAUUAGUGGAAGUUGAUUAUAAAUUCAUGAUACUGUAAGGACUUUUAUUCACAAGUCCUGUCAUUUAAUAGUUAAAAUAUAUAUUAUUCAAUAAUUUUAUAUAUUAUUAUUCUAUUUGGUCGUCAAAUUUUUUUAAUUUUAUUAUAUAAGUAUUACUAAAUUAUUUAACUAUAUAUAUAGAUUAUAAUUAUUAAUUAAUAUAUUUAUUAUAUCAUGAUGCUGAUGUGGCCUAAUUUUAAUUCGACUAUUAUGAGCCGACAUGUGGUUUAGUAGGAUGCCAAUUUCAGCAAAAUUUUUAUUCUCAAACUGAUCAUCAGAUCAUGGCUUCUGGGCAUCAGAUACCAUGUUGUAAUUUAGGUUCACCUGUUAGUUUAAUUGCUGAUCCAUUACCUUUUCCAAUUUGAUAGACAACAUUGCAUUUAAAAUAUUGCUUAACAAAAACAUUUUAACCUUGCACGGGCCCAAACCAGAUCCAGCUGCAACCCCAAAUGAGAGGUUGUGCCGGUGCGAUUGGUUGCUCGAAGUAGCCGACGGUCACAAGUUCUCUUUUUCUUUUUUUUGGUGAUGGAAGCCAAUGGUUCACACCAAACAUAUUACACAACAGCAAAGUUCAAAGAUCCCCAGAUGGCCGAGAUAGAUUCGGCCAGCAUUGAAGGCUUCACAUUGUUGGCGUUCCGAGUUUUAUUAGAUCUUCUCCUUUUCUAUCCAACCCAGUUCACCUAACGUGCACGAUGGCCGUGUUAACCCCACUAGGCGAAUCAAGUAUCAGACUCCGCACACCACACAGGAAAUCAAUCCAUUCAUCUCUCGCCAGAACCAUAUUGGGUGGGCCCCCUCAUGUACUGCUAGAUGAAUACUCGCGUCAUCUCCGCGUGAAGUCUUGUAUCGCUCUCGAGGACCAUUACAUUUGCAUACAAAUUUCUCGUCGUUGUUUAACUUGGGGACAUGUGAACGGUUCUGAUCAAUCUACGCGGUAGUACGAAUGGUGGAUACGUUAUAUGCAGAGAAAUUAUUAUGCGUUUCUACGUAUAGUAUAUAUAUUUCUUCACGGGUGACCGCCGCACUCCUCUCCCUAUUCCUCUCUCCCUCCCGUCGUUUCCGGUGUUUUUUCCACCGACUUUCAUCUCCUUGGAGGGCGGUGCCGUUUUCCUCGACCGCCGGCGCUUCUCCCGACGCCGGCGGCGGCCGCCGUUUGUCGUCCUUCGUCGUUCUCCGGUGACCCUCAGCUGGUGAGCUGAUCUGAUUAGAGCUCUGAUUUAGGCUCUGGUUAGAAUUUAAAAGAUGUGAUCUUGCUGUCAUUGGACUCCCUUUUCCCCUAUUCUUGGAUGAUUUCUUUAUCGUUGAGGUUUAUGUUGUUGGGUUUUUCCUUAAUCUUAAUUCUGAGCAGGUGUGGUUUAGGUGCAGUAGUAGUGAUCUAGGAUGAAAGGGUUGUGGCUUUUGGUUGUUUCUGGUUCUAGGGUGAUUCAGUUGGAUUCUUUUUUAAUAGAAAAGCUAGGUUAGGUUGAAAUUAUGGUUUGAAAUGCAGGCUUUGUGCGUUCUUUUCUGCCCCUAUUUAGGGAUUUGGAGAAUUUAACUGUUACUAUUUUUGUCUGAAAUAAAGUUAGGUUUGUUAUUGUUGCUAUUAAUGAAUAUAGCUUUGGAUGUUUACUUAAAGGGGUGUUGUUGAAACUGCUGGGUUAAUAUUUGCGAAGGAUUUGAUUUAGGGGUCUGCUGAUGGAGUGCUAAGGUAAAAUACUAUUUGCGAAAUUCUGCCUCGUGUGUAUAGAAAUUUAUGUUAUGUAUUCGAAUCUGCUUGCCUUGUUUUCUUUUUCAAUUUCUUUGUUGGGUUGCUAUUUGAUGGAGAGAGAUUGGUGUAUUAGCGGUGAUGAUGCUAGAUCAUGAGACAUUGGUAUGAUUUGCAUUGGCGGCAGUGCUUGAUCUAUUUAUUGACUGUUGCCUUCCUUUCGAAUGGUCCUCAGGCUUUCUUUCUCCAUUACUAGUUCUCCUAUUCAUUAUUUUUUGGGUCCAUCUUAUUCUGAACCAUAAUUUCAGCUCGAAUAUACCAUAUUUUCCUUGUUUUAAGUUUAUACUUUUUUGGUUUUGCAUUGCUUCAAUAAGAGAUUUAUAUAAGUUCAUCUGAUUUCAAGUUGUGUUUAGUUUACAUUGUGGAUCUUCGUUCAAUCCUCUUCUCUCCCUCCUCUUUUCCUCCCGCACCCUCCCUUUUAUUUGGGGUUAUUACAUUUAUUCCUUUCCACUAUAUGAUAUAUAAAUUUCUCCAUGUUGUGGCUUUUGGAGCAUUUUCUUUCUUCCUUUGGCCCUCUUAGUGAUCUACAUACACUUUGCUUGAUCAUCUAUCAAUAUGCUUCUAAAUCAUUUAGGCUUACUCCAUCAUGAAAUUUUAAAAUUCUGGAACACUUCCUGCUUUUUGCCAUCUUCACCCAUGAAGCAACUUAUUUUCUUGUUCAACCUUUAGAUUUUCUGUUUGUGUUGGCAUUAUUUUUCCUUUUUCCUUUUUUAAUCUAGUAUUUCAGCCUAUUUUCUAUGGCAUCACUGCUUCAGUAUUCUUGGUUGUCGCUAAGUUUGCUCCAUUAUCUUUCGUGCAAAUUCAAGGAUGUGACCUGCAUGGCCAAAAUGGUGGCUUGAUUUGAACUAUUUGGCUUUUCUUCUGUCCAACAGUUCAAGAAAAGUAGACAUCAUAUUAUCAUAAGAUUUUAUUAUGCAUUGGAAUAUUGACUAAUGCCUCUAUUUUCCCUCACUUUGUAAUCAUUUGAGGCUUUCUGCUGAUACAUAGUUACCUGUGCAAACUUUCUAGGUAGUGGAAUGCGCAUAGUCAGCAAAAUUUCAUUGCAACUUCUAGUAUAACUCAUCAUUCUAAAAGUGCUACACUAUUAUUUCUGUCAGCAGGCAUAAAAUGAAGGCAAUGAAAGCAGCUGGUUCUUCAUGGAGAACCAGUGUUUAGGGUUUAGCAAAUUAUAGAAAUUCAAUUUAAGCCUUUUCCCUAAGUCUUUGCCACUUUGGUGUAACUUCAUUAAAAUCCUCUGCCCAUGUUGAGUUUUCUACUUUUGAGUUUGUCACAAGAGGCACGUUUGGAUGAAUGAUUCUUCGCCGGUACCUUAUAGAUUCAAUACUUGUUUCUUCUUGAUCUAGAGCAGCUUCCUUGAUUGGCCUUCACUAGUCUGUCUAUUCUAAAUUCCCAGCCCUCCUCGAGUAAUCUUGCAAAGGAACUUCCAAAUAAUUAUGCCUAUUCUCAGAAGCCCUUUCAUGUUGUUGCCAUCCUUGAGUUAAUCUUGUAAGCUCCUCGUUUUUGUUGUUGAACUUACAGGAUUGAGUAACUAUAGCAAAUGCAACUGCUACUCUAGUUAUUCUUCAGAAAACAUAGUGAUACUCCUGUGGCUAUGUUUUUGUUUUCUCUUUUUCAUAUGUCUGUCCUAUUAGAUGUUGGACUUAGGACUACUUAUCAUACUAUCUUAGGAGUUUCUUUCCUAGUCUUGAUUCUGUAUAUUUUCUUAUGGAUGUGGCCUUUUUCUGAUUAUGUUAUUCUACUAGAUGUUCUGCAUUUCUUUGCAUGUCCCACAACUUCUUAAUAGCUUCAAUUUCUGUUAGUCAUCUUACUGCAUCUAGUUUCACUAUCUCAUUCUAUUAUACUUGUUCUCUGUAGGAUCUUCUAAGAUCAAAAGAAUCAAGACUGAUCAUAGAUACAAUGGAGCAUGCCAGAGUCUUUGUUUUUAACUAAUAUGUGAUUUACAAGUUAUAACAUGCUUAGAUUGGUAAAGAGCAGGUUAUUGUGAUCAAGUUUUCAAGAACUAUGAGUCAAAGUGCAAAAAUUCAUUUUCUUUGUACUUAUAAACAAGGCAUUCAGUCUUGGAAUUGGGUCUCUGGCAUUACCUUAUUGGUACAGGUCAAUAUGGUAUGCCCUGUAUUGGCACAAGUAUGCUGGUGGAGUCGGCACAGCAACUGUGCCAUGUGUCAAUACGGGGAUGUGUUGAGCCCCUGUACCGUAUGGCACCAUACUGGGUUGGCAUGUAAAACCUUGCUUCUGAAUAUGCAUAUAGGAAGAUACAGAGGGGAUCAGUUGGUCCAAGAAUGGACAACUAAUCAUGCUAUCAGGAUUUAGUAUAACAAUUUCUAUACCUUGUGGUUAUAAUUAUAUUUUUGAGGUAUUGAUUUAUGUUCAUCUAUUUUGUACUUAUCUACAUUGGAAAAAGUGGUGCUUAGUUCUCAGAACCUGCAAUAAUGGGAGUAAUAUAGAAAUGAUUGGAUUAUAUAUGUAGAAAUGAUUGGAUUCUAUACGUGAGUUCUGUUUUAAUAAGGUUAAAAGAAGAAGAAUAUACAGUGAAAGAAAGAAAAUGAUGAUAUAAGCCCUUUAAGAUGGCUCACAAGCUCAUCAAAAUGGAUGGAAUAGUGGAGGAGAAAAAGGGGGAAAAAAUGAAAAUGCUGCCAUCUAAGAAGAUGUCACUGUCCUGUUCCAUAAUCUUUCAUAUUUCGCAAGGUUUAGUGUUACAAAUCAGGUAGGCCUUAAUAUCUGGUCAUUCAUUUUUUUUUGCUGUUAUCCUGCUUUUUUAAUUUCCCUGUGUGCCUUGUCAAUAGGUAUUUCUAUUCUUAAUUCUAGGCCUCUCUAUCUCAACAAAAGAUCUGGUGCAAUCCACUGUGAGAAGUUGGAGGGUGGUUGAAGUGUGGGGACUUGGAAUUGUAAGAUUGUGCCUGUAGCCGUGAUAUAUAGUAUAAAUUCAUGGGAAACAUGUUGUCCAUAUGGGUUCUUUUUCUUGUUAGCCUACCACUGAGCUCACCUUGGUGUUUUGUCUCGCUUUCUUUUCUAGAUUCAUUUUAUUUGCUCAGUGGCUUCUUAGGAGUGUGCAUGUAUUCUGCUUUCCAAUUUCACUUGUCUACACCUUAAUCUUGCUCUUUUCGUCACAAAGAAUAGUUAAUAAAAAAAGUGUACUUUGAUGCCCCCCCCCCCUCCUCCCUCCGUCUCUCUCUUUACUUCUGAGCUUUCUGUUUUUACAGUUGAAUUCAUUUGAUGCAUACAAGUUCCACUAUUCUACUAAAUUUAAUUUAUUAUAAUUCAAGUUGGUUUAUUUAUGAUUGUGUUAAUAGUGCUCGAUGCUCUUGCAGAGAUAAAAUUGGAUCAAUCCAUGCACAAUACUGUUGAGGUACAAAAAUCUCAUAAAGAAUCAGGUUAGUUUCUAGGUUAUCUUUGAAGGGAUGAAAGUGGGGAAUUUACAUAAAUUGAGAGGUAAUAAACUCUCUCUCAGUCUUAUUGCUCUCCUCUGCACAAGUCUUAUUUUUUGGGCAUGGGACAAAACCCCAAUCCUCACUACUUUCCUUCCACCUCCCGAGCAGCUUGAUAUACUUGCUCCAGGUAUCACUUUCCAUGCCAUAUCUUUCUCCCUUUUAACUUGUUUUUGUUUAGUUGGCAUUCAUUUGUGUUCCCCUUUCAAAUUUUGUGUUGGGACUUCUUUUGUAGCAACAGUGGUUCCUGCACAAACUUCAGUAACUCCCUUAGAAAAUACAAAUGAGCAGCCAUUUGCAAAGGAAGAGUUGUCAGCUGUAGACCGACAUGGAAAUGCAUUACCUGAUGAACCAGGGGGGGAAGUUGUUGAUGUUUCACCAACAGAUUCUUCUAUGAGGAGUUCAUUGGAGAAGGAAGAUAAGGGUAAAGAAUCAGAAAAGGUUCCUGCAGAGAAUAAAGGUGAUUAUUUCUCCAUUUUUUUAGCAAUUGAUCUUUUGGAUAUGUAAUUAUAAUGCUAAUUUACUUGCUAGGAUUGUAUAAUGAUUCUUCACUAUCCAUCAAAACUAUUCUUAUGUAUCCUGAUUUUUUAAUCAAUUAUAUUUUGCUGAUACUGAUCCUCACCACAGGUUCCAAUUUAUUCAUAAAUACAGUUGGGCUGAGUAUCUUGUUCAUGUGCAAUUAUAAUAAAUGGAUAUACACAUGCAUCUAUACAUUAUUUAUGCAUAUGAAUAUGUGCAUAUGUACAUAGUAUUUAAAUCAGAAAGACAUGCAAACAUAUUUCUCUCUGUGUAUGGAUGCAUGAGAGUUACUUAAAAUUAUUUGUUUCUGUAAAGUUUGGUUCUUCUUCAGAAUUAUGAGCAUCCAAUAAGCACCUGAGAGGCUUUCUUUUUACUUUAUGUGUGUGCAUAGAGUGUAAUUAUGCAAAGGGAAAGUGGGUUGCAGACAAAAGACGACCAUUAUAUUCUGGUUUUGGUUGCAAGCAGUGGCUUUCACAAAUGUGGGCAUGCCGGUUGAUGCGACGAACUGAUUUCUCCUAUGAGAGUUUUCACUGGCAGCCACAAGGUUGUGAUAUGCCAGAGUUCAAAGGUUCUGAAUUCUUGAGAAGGUGCGUUUUAUCUAAUAACUCUAUUUGUUUUCUAAAAAAAGUUCUUUUGCAUUUGUUUAAGCCAAAUGGGUGGAUUAUUUGCUAGCAGUAAGGGGAUUCUUUUGUAUGGUCAUUGGGAAAGAUUUUAUGUGAUUAAAAUUGGUGUUUAUUUUCCAGGAUGCAACAUAAAACAAUUGCUCUAGUAGGGGAUUCAUUGGGAAGACAGCAGUUCCAAUCCCUCAUGUGUAUGGUCACUGGUGGUAAAUAUAGCCCGGAAGUGAUAGAUGUUGGAAAGGAGUAUGGCCUUGUUAAAGCCCGUGGUGCCACACGACCUGAUGGUUGGGCAUAUCGAUUCCCAAGCACCAACACCACCAUUCUAUACUACUGGUCUGCUAGUUUAUGUGAGUUGGAGCCUUUGAACAGAUCCAGUCCAGCUACCCCUUAUGCUAUGCAUCUUGACCGCCCUGCAACAUUUUUAAAGCAGCAUCUUCACAGAUUUGAUGUGCUGGUACUCAACACUGGGCACCAUUGGAAUAGAGGCAAGUUUAGAGCAAACAGAUGGGAAAUGUAUGUUAGUGGAAAACCCAUCACAGAUAGAAAGCUUGCACAGAUAUGGACAGCCAAAAAUCUUGCUGUCUCGAGUGUUAUCAAGUGGCUUGAUACACAGCUUCCACAACAUCCACAAUUGAAAGCUUUUUUUAGGACCAUAUCUCCUAGGCAUUUUGUCAAUGGAGAUUGGAAUACCGGGGGAAGCUGUGAUAGUACCAUCCCAUUGGCUGGUGGGAGAGAGGUUCUGCAGGAUGGUUCUAGUGAUACUGAUGCUGAGGGUGCAGUAAGGGGAACAAGGGUGAAACUCUUGGAUAUUACUGCUUUGUCACGAUUGAGAGAUGAGGGGCAUAUAUCCAGAUAUAGCAUUAAAGCCUCCACAGGUGUGCAUGAUUGCUUGCAUUGGUGUCUUCCAGGUAUACCCGAUACAUGGAAUGAAAUACUUUAUGCACAACUGUAGGUCAUCAUUCAGGAGGUUCAUGCAUUGACAGCCACUCUUUAUGCUGGGUACCCUAAAAAUUUGCUACAUGGGGUACUCUUAAUGAACGUUCUACAAAGAAAUACAUCAAAGAAGUUCCUCUGAAGAAGUACUCUAUUUAUUGCGACACUUUUCCACACUGACGUCGAGUUUGCUCUAUACUUCUUGGUCAUCUAUUAUCUUAUAAUUGCAUACUAGAAAUUCUUGAUUGAAGGUCUGCUCUCAAAAAUAUUAAUAUAUUCUGGCGGCUCAACUUUCCUAGAGGAAAUUACAUUUGUGGACAACAAAAGCAUUGUAUUUCUAAGAGUGAUGUAGAAAGCACUUUAGUAGUGAUGUGUAUUUUAAUUAUAUGAGUUCAUUUUUGCUGAGACCUCACAAAAGAAAUGAGUCAUGCGAAUUGAAGGCCUUGUUGGCUGAGAGCUCUGUAUUGUGCUAGUUAGGCAUAUUGACUUUGGCAUAACAAAAAUUUGCCAGGCUGUAUUUUCACUGCAUCAUUAGAAAUUGUAUUAGAUUGCUUGUAUUGCUGUCAACAGCUUGAUGUGAGUUAUUUGCAGACUUUCUGUAUACUUCGAAGAAAUUUAAUGAAGGUACAAUUUAGCAACUUGUCUUAGGAAGCAUCCAUUUUGUUUCUUUUGAUACAUGCAGGAAAUGCAUAAAUUUAUUCAUCUCUAUUUGGCAAGAUCAUGUUGACGAGAUACUAACAUUUUGUUAUGUUAGAGGUUUAAAUCUUUAGUGUAUAUUGGAGUUUGUGGUGAACUUCAGAACAAUAUUAUGAUGUUACAUUUGUUGUGUGAGGUACUAUCAUGUCAAAAGCUCUGAAAUUAUCCAAAUCAGAUUCUUAUAUUAUUUUUAUUUUAAACAUUUGUCUUUCUGUUUAGGUUUGUAACAUCUACUUAUUGCGACAAAUCUGAACUUCAUGUUUCGCUAGGUCAGAGAACAAUGGUUGUUAGUUGAUCAUUUCUGAGCCAUGGACAGUCAUAUUACAGACACCUAUGGACUAUUAAAUCCAUGCACAUGAGCAGCAUCAGUCUAGCAUCCAUGUACAUGGGCACAACAUCAGAACAGCAUGAAAGAAAUCGGGACUUUGCUUCUCUCUCCCUCCCUCUCCCUCUUUCUCCCUCCCUCCUUACCUCCCUGAUGAGCAUUCCCUCGGUUCAAAUUUUUCAGAACAUCCUUUUAGGCUACAUCAACAGUUCAGGUACAUUAUUUGGAGAGCUUUGAAGCAGAAGAGCAACCAUCUUCUUCCUCAGCUGACAUGCGUGGGGAGGACGCCAUGAAAUGGGGAGCAAUGAUGAGCAAACCCUGUCUUGAUCAGUGAAUGGGGUUACUUGAUAGGUGCUCAUCAGAACUCACUAGGAAGGAUGGAUCUUCAAGACAAUGGUUAUUGAACAAUGAAUUCAAGCACUCAUCUAUGAAUUUUCUUUCCUUCCUUUGUUUUCUUGAAAAUAUGGCGACUUCCUCGCGCCAUCAGGUUAUCAGAAGAUCUCGUAAGGAAGGAUCUUAAAAACAGUUUGUUAAAGAAUAAAUCAAGCACUCAUCACUUGGGUUUGAACCAGAGACAUCUCACCCAGAGGGAUGGAUGUCGAUGCUAUUUCACUUUCACUUUGUUACAGAGAAUGACAUGAAUAGAGUUCUCUUACAGGAUCAUGUGUCUCGCUUGAUAAACAUUGGCUUUAAAUUAUUGGAGGCAAGAUUUUUUGUCGCAACGGGGGUGCAAUGAAACAUCCUACAAUUUGGAUACAUCUUCUUGGUCUCUGUAUUGUUUCUGUUGCAAGAGCUACACCCUGACUAAAAACGUUGUAUUAGAAGAAGAUUGAAUCAUAUUUUUGUUUAGAUCUUGUCAAUCCUGACUUUAAAAGAAGAUUGAAUCAUAUUUUUGUUUAGAUCUUGUCAAUCCUUGGUCUCUUUCACUACAACAAAAAUAGGAUUUUUCGAUUCUCAUUUGCCAACGCAAAAAAGAAGCGUGGGUAAUUUGGUGACCGAGCCAAAAUUUGUCGACGCUUUUUAGCAGUGUCGGCAGGAAUUAAACCAAAACGACACUAGUACGAGCAUCAUCGAAAUCCAAGAUGACGCUAAUAAGUAUCGUUGGAAGCCAAAACCCUCGCCUAUCAUCACGCUUUGGCCUUUGACGAUGCUUAUAAGCAUCAUUGGAAGCCAAACUACCACCUACACUGUUUAGAGCAUGCUCUGGCUUCUAGAGCAGCCUCUUAGGGAUGAAACUAAAACGGCACUUAUUAGCAUUGUUUAUAGCAAAUUGUAAAACGAUGCUUAGAGAUGUCGUCAGAGGCCAAGGAGGGAAAGGAGUAGACGACGCUUAAACGCGUCGUCGGAAUCCUCCCCCAUUUAACACUAACUUCCCCCUUAAACUCAUUGAAGAGGGCUUAAACUCCACGUAAGACGACGCUUAUAAGCAUCGUCGGAAGCCAAUGGUCUAAGGGACCUAAGACGACGCUCAAAUGUGUUGUCGGAGGCCAAGUCCGCCUAUAAAACGCCCAGACCAAGCAAUGGGAACCCUAGUGCGGGUUAAAGAGAGAGAGGGAGAGAGGAGGAGGGAGUGCAUACGGUCGGCGGCCCCACGCUCUGUAGAACAUCAGAGGGAUCGAUGUGGGGGAGCAGAUCUGCCGCUCGGACCAGAUCUGCCACUCUGAAGAACCCUGCUUGGCAUGGGGGACCAGAUCCGCUGCUCUGAAGAACCCUACUUGGCAUAUGUCUCCACCGCCGCCCAGACCAGAUCCACCAUCGAGUUCUCUGACGACAUCACCACGAGCACCGGCUCCACGCUCUGUUGAUCUCCGGCCUCUAAGGAAGCUUCAGGUGGUUCUCCGGUAGCUGAGGUUGGGGUUGGGGUUGGGGAUGCUUCCUGUCAAUUUAUUUCUAUUGUAAUUUGUAAUUUGUAAAUAUGCUUUCUGUGUUAUUCUUAUUGUAAAAUAUAAUUUAAUAGAAGAAAAAGAAACAUCCUAUAAAUUAGACAUAUAAUGUAAUAUGCUUUCUAGUGUAAUUUAUUAAAGAAACAUCAUAUAAAUUGGACAUUUGUUGUUCUUCUUGUGUUAUUCCUUUUCUAUUUUUUUUAAAAAACUUUCUGGGAUUAUCUAUCUUGUGCUAUUAGAAGAAGAAGAAUCAGAAGGAACCAGUAAUGGAGAAGAAAAUCAAAAAUUAGGGUUUUUUCCUUUAAAUUAAGUUUGUUAAAUUUAUUUUCGGCAGAGGCUAGAAUGUCUGUUAAUCUUUCUCUCCAGUUGGUGGAUCCAGGCUUUUUUUUUGGCCCCCCAAAAAAUUAAUUAGCCUUUUAAAAUAAUAUUUUUAAAAAAGAAUAACUCUAACAAUGCUAAGCAUUGUUAGAAUUAGUAUUGUCAAUGCUUAAAAGUGUCAGCAAUAAAUGCGACAAAACUACCACUAUUGCCGAUGUUUUUCAAAAGUGUCGGCAAAUAAAAUUUUCAUGCUAAUAUUGCUGACACUUUUGCGAUAAUUUAAGAAGCGUUGGCAAUAAAAAUACUGACGCUUAUAAGCUUCGGUAUAUGUAUUAAAAAGCAUCAGGAUUUGAAUCAACUCAUAUUUUUGUUUAGAUCUUGUCUCUUGGAAACUAUUCCAGGUAGAAAGAACAAAGCUUUUUGGCAACCUUUUGUCGACGAAAACGUCACUAUUUUCUUUUAUUGUUAAGUGUUUGAUGAUGUGCUUUUGAGUUUCAAUUACCGGACUUGAUUGAUUUGAUUCUCUAAUGAUAAGGAAUGUACUAGCAAAUUGCUCCCACAACACAUUUGUAUUCAGAUUCAAAUGAUUCGUUGACUUCCCAAGAAUUCAAAUUCCAACAUUGGACUCUAAUCUAAGUUAUGCAGGAAUACAAAAUCAAAACCAAAUUCAAAUUGCAAAUGAUUAUAUAAGCUGUAAGAAUGCCAUGUAAAAUGAGUAAUCAGGGAACAUAUAAAUAUUAUAAAAUGACUCCAUAGUAAAUUGUGGAGAUCAAUAUAUUCUACUAAAAGAUUGUUUUCUUUCAUGGUAUCAGGAGCUUGCCAAAGACCAAUAUCUCUUUUCAUUUCUCCCACCCUCCUCCAAUCACUAUUUUUUUGUGCAACAAUGAUAUCCAACUUCUCAUCUUCUUCCCUCUCCGCUGCGGACUCAUCAAAAUCUUCUUAUUUCAGCCACUUUACCAAUAUCAAACUUGAUCAUCACAAUUAUGCUCUCUGGCGAGUCCAGUUCUUCCCGUUUUCGAGGCUCACAAUCUCUUAGGAUAGGUGCGGUAUAGCUAACUAAGCUUACUCAUCAAGGGCCGAACGAUAGAGCUGCUCUUGUUGCUAAUGGGGAAAGAUUGGGCGCUGAGGAAGGGAAAGGUCCUACCUGAUCCUCGGCCGCCGUCAGCCAAAGAGAAGUGUAUUGAUGACACUCUACUAUGUCCCUCUCAAUAUUUCUCCUCCUCCAUAGAACCUAUCUCUUGAACCUUAAGUAGUCCAGCCUACAUCCAGUAGCAAAACCAUGAUCAAAUCUUUCUCAGUUGGCUUCUAUUUUCUCUCACUGAGUCCAUGUUUAAUCAAGUGGUAGGUCUUGAAAUCUCAGUUACUAUUGGGUCUACACUCAAUCAUACGCAUGUCUCUCACUCUAAAAACAACAUUAUAAAAAGCCUUUGGAGGAAUAUGUUCAUAAAGUAAAAAACCUCGUUGCACAUUUAGCUGUUGCACAUCAUGUUCCAAAGUUAAAAAUGGUUCUCUAUAUCCUCAGUGGUCUUGGUUUGCAAGAUGAGUUCUUUGUGUACACACCCCAAGAUAUCCUGUCUUGACUCUUUGCAUUUCAAAAGACUGAACCCUAGGCCCUAGGUUGGCCCUAGGACAAUCCUGUGUCAAGCCUAGAGUCAAAGUCUACCCAAAUCAUGCCAAAUAUGAUUUCCAACCCUGGUUGUUUCUUCUAAAUUUUAGAUUAGAUGAUGAAUAUUUUUCUAAUUUCUAUUCUUUGAAUAAAUCCCAAGAACCCUAUCAUCCUCACCCUUGAUUGCAGCAGGGUGGGGUCAAUAGGUUUUUGACUUGAAUAAGUAGGGCUAAGGCUAUGUAGGUGCUCACCCUUGGGACUUGAGUCCAUGGUGAAUAAGGGCCUAGGGAACCUAUGAUUGCCUCAGGGUUGGCCUUCUUCCUUGGCAGCACUCCUAGUCUUACUCUUUCUCUGGUUUAUUCCAUAGCCUUGUUUGCUCUCAUUUCAUUUAGAUCUCCACUUCUACUGGUAGAAAAAAAAGUAGAUGGCGAUUCCGUUAUCUUUCUGAUCCAUCAUUUGCUAUACCACACGGGAAAAUAUCAACAUUUUGUUAGUUUUGUUAAUCGCUCCAACAAUGAUACAAGUAAUGCACCUUAAUCCAACAAUGGAAAGCUCUCCAAGUUUAAGCAAAUGUUGCUAAUUGCUCCAACAAUGAUACAAGUAAUGCACCUUAAUCCAACAAUGGACGCAACUCUAGUGGUCGAGGUUGUAGUCAUGGCCGAGGCAGCUGAGGUGAAUAUGGAUUACUUCCUAUUCCUUAUCCACCUUGCUCUACAUCAUUUAGCAAGCCAAUGUUUCAGGUAUUCAACACAUCUGGUCAUCCUUUGAAUAGUGCAUAUCCAACAAAGAGCUCUCCCCUUUACCAAACUUUGGUGGAACAUCCACUAUGUUUGAUUAUUUUUUUUUGGAAGAAAGCUAGAGUCUUGACUAAGGCUGCAAAUAGGUCGGGUUGACCCGUGACCCAUCCUGACCGAUCUACUUAGAUCCGACCCAACUCAUUUUGGAGAAUCCAUGGGGCCGGGUCGGAUUCUAAAAUUGGACUCGUUCCAUUUUUCGGAUCGAGUCUGGAUUUACUGGAUUCAAAUCCGACCCGAUCCAACCCAAUUGAAACUUCGGUAAUUUUGAAUUUUCAAUCCUACGACUUGCCCCGACCCAACUCGACUGGACCUGAAUCUGUAAAACUUUUUUUUCUGUUCCCUUUUGGGGUGCAAUGAUUUAGUUCAUAAAGAAGUUGUUAGUAAAAAGAUCUACGAUGGAUAGCAAUGAAAAUAUAGCUGAAGUUUUAAGUACACUUCUUAUGCAAAUCUGACUUUAAAUUUGGUCUGCAAGCGGCUAGCUUUGGAGGAACCAAGAUCGAUCCGACGGCUUGGGGGGACAAGAAAUGCCACUGGGAAUCCCGUUUCCUGGCCCAGGUGUGGAUUCCUUCGUAGGAAUGAAACCAUACUUGCUCUUGGAAUUGUCACGUAACUCUAUCAUGCUUUGUGUUUGGCUAGAUUUUAUCAUGUUAAUCUAAUUGUUUAGGACUUCAAUUAAUUUUUAGCCAACUGGUGUUUUGUCCAUGGAGUUAUAACAACCAUUCUCAUCUUUCUGAGGAUGUGUUCUGUUAGUGCUGCACUCUUUUAUAAACUGAUCAACUUAAAUUAGAUUGGUGAGAUCCCAGUCAGAUUGGUGAUCGAGAUUUGAGAACAUGUCAUGCAGGUUUCGGAUCUUGGUCUAGAUCAUAAAUUGUAUCAGUGGUUUAACUUGAGCUCGUGAAAUACUGCUCGCUGUGGGUGCAGAUGUGCUCACUGUAAGAUGUGGAAUUAUUAGUCAAUGACAGGUUUUAAUGUUCUUACAUCUCUCAGAUUAGUUUGCUGGCGGACAUAAUGAUAUACUAGCAGUUUUCUUUGUUUUCUCAUGGAAAUUUUUCAGUUUGGAUUCCCUAUUUUUAUUGCUUGUAUACUCACUAUCAUUAAACAAUCAAUCUAUCAUCAAUCGAUUAAGUAUUUCAGAUAAGAACAGGAGCCAAAGUUAGCAGAAGCGUGAAGAGUUCAGGGGCUUAGAUGGUCUGAUGCUGCUAGGCCAUUACUGGGAUACACACAGAGAUGGCUCCAUAUUAGUUGACACUUGACAAGAAACAUAACAAACAUGAUUACAAAGCCAGAAAUUCAUCAACUAUUAAAAAUUCAGCGAGGCAACAAAGCUUAAAUUCGUACUCGCAAGUUGAUACUCUAUGUAGCUGCAGUGUGCAAAAUUGCUGAAAGUCCAGUGGGCCCGAACCGGACCCGACCCAAACUUGAAUCGGAUCCGAAUUUUUUUGGAUUGGGUCCGGGUUAUACAUGGACCCGACCCGAUCCGAAUAACCCGUGGGGUCAAAAAUAAUGGCCAUGGACCCGAACCGACUCAAUUUUCUAUUAGGUUGGGUCUAGGUCGACAAUUGGGAACCGAAUAAGGAACCGAGUUGGAUCGAGGUCACUCAUGACCGGUCCAAUCCGACCCACUUGCACCUCUAGUCUCGACCACUCAAUUUAUUAAUGGGUCAAAAUGUACAAGAGAAGGAAAAGAUGGGAAUAUACAUAAAGAGAAAUACAUAGAGAGGUAAAUGGAAGAAGAAAGUAGAGAAGAAAAGUCACAAGCAGUUACCAAAAAAAGAGAGAGAGUAAAGAUUAAGGAGAAGAAAGGUGGUAGGAAAGAUCACACUGUGCUAUAAAGGCAAUGAAGUCUUCCACUUUACUACUUUCAAGUAAAUUUCUCCUCUUUGUCUUGAAUUUGAAUUUUCCGCUUCACUGAGUCCAAAAUAGCUUUCCUCUAGCUGAAAAGAUUAGUUCAGAAGGUUAAUUAGUGGUGGAAGUAAAGAAUUGAUGUACUUGCUUGAGUUUAGCCCUGUUUUAACAACUUCGGGUUGGUCUUUGUGAUUGUAGAGAAGGAACAAUUCAUUUAAAAGCGAAGAUCCUUUGAAAGCAACAAAAUCAGUAGAGGAGGAUUUUUCAAGGAAGAUCCUUGAAUUCCUUUUCUUCCAAUAGCUCCAAUAUAUAGCAGCAUGCAACAUGAAAACAGCCAGUUGCAGCUCUUUAGAAAAAUAGCUAUUUUCUCCAAAUUAUGCAGAGAUCAACAAGUUUUAUUUUUUAUUUUUUUUGGCUACAAUGGAUAACUCAGAGAAGUCUAGUAUGAAUAUACUCAAAAAAGUCAAAAGGUAAUAAGUUUCGGAGCGCUCUAGGCAGCUCCCUCUCACCAAUCUAGAGAACUCCCCUAGAGUGAUUUGUCGCAAACGAGAUCAACUAGGUUUUCAAGUGGAGGAAUCCUUAAAGCAGAGCAGAAGGCAUCGCAUAUUUGAGAGGUAAAAGGACAGGAAAUAAAAAAAAUGUUCCACAUAUUCCCUGUGACAGUUGCAAAGGAGACAACCACCUACAUACUUGUCCAGUUUUCUUUGCAAAAGGUCUCAGUAUUUAACUUAUACAUGAGAGUAAGCCAAAGGAAACAUUGAACUUCUGACGGAGCAUCAAUGUUCCAAAGGGAGGUUGCAAGAUUUUAUUUAACCAAUCUAGAGUUGAGAAAGCGAUACAAUGAGCCACAGCAGUAGUUACCUGAACUUUCUAGUUCUCAAAUCAGAUCAUCUGAAGAAGAAUUUAGCUGGAAAUCAGCAAGAAGAGAAGAGCUUGAAGAAACUUGCCAUAGAACCAGAUUUGCACCUGCAGAAGGAGCAUAAAUAGGGGAAAACAGCUUUGAGUGGCGCCUCAGUGAGCCAACAUUCCUUUCAAAAUUGCACAUUGGAACCAUUACCAACAAUGAAAGAUGAUCUAUUGAAAAUUAACCAAUCUAAUUUAUGGGGUGCCUCACCUAUUGCUCGUGUUAAUAAUAAAUGGUAUUAUAUUAGCUUUAUUUUGAUGAUCACAGGAGAUAUAAAUUUGGAGUAGUCUCCAUUCUCAAAAGAUUUAAAACUCAUGUCAAAAAUUUGUUAAGGAAUAAGAUUAAAAUGUUGCAAUCAGAUGGUGUUCCUAAAUUUCACAAAUCUCCUUAUUAGAAUCUAUUCGGCCAAGUGCCCAAUUACAAAAGCCUUACAAAUACUUGGUUGCACUUGUUUUCCAGGGCCAAGACCUUAUCAGGAAAACAAGUUGGGAUCUCAUGGCAUAAAAUAUGCUUCCAUGUUCAUCAUUUCCUCAAAUAUGGUGACUUGUCUUCAACAUAGAAUUUAGAAAUCCGAAAUUUUCUCAUAUGAAGGACGGGAGACUAACUAAUCUAUUGAAGCAAUGUCAUGUGGCUGUUGUUGAUGACGAAAGGGAGCCUCCGUGCUUCUCUCAAGCUUCUAAGCACCCUUGUGGAGUUAUACGUGGAUGAGUUCAAUGAUCUUCUCCAUAACGCUAAAUGUUCCUUAGUUCCUAAUAAUUCCAAUAUGAAUUUGGUUGGUGUAAAUGGGUGUUCUCAAUCAAAAGACAGGUAAUAUGUCUAUUGGCUGACACAAAGCAAUCCUUUCAUAAAGGUUAUAAUCAUAAAUAACCCGGGCUUAGACUAUGAUGAGAGCAUGGCAAAAUGUGGCCGAUCAGCAAUCCUUUCACACAAAUAUUUUUACUGAAAGCUAGUUCUACCACACUGACGUAGUAAAUCUUCCAGCUUGAUAUUAUUUGAUCUCAUACGUCAUGUUCCAAUGAUUGUCAAGGUUUAUAGAUGCUACCUAUCGAAAUAAGACAACAUUAUGUUUAUAUAUAGCUCUCUAGAACCUUAAGGCUUUGUUUGGUUAUCAAGAAAGUGAAAGAAAAGGUUUGUUAGAAAAGAGUCUUCUUUUCUGUUGUUUGGUGGUACAAAUGAAAUCCAAAAAGAGAAUAUCAAAUAGAAAAUUUUGGGUUAAAACUUUCUCUAAAAAGUCUAAGAUUUUCUUGCUACAAGAUACUAGCUUUUAGAGAAAUCAAAAUAUAGGCAAAUGGCUGCAGAUAACUCAAUAGUAUCUUCACCACUUUCUCGCCAACUUUCUUUGCAAUUUUUUACUUUAACCUAAUUAUGAGAAAAUACCCUAUUUUCUGUUCUGUUCUUUUCUUUUCUUUAUUUUUCUCCUACUAAUUUAUCUUUUUUUUUCUUUCAUUUUUCCGGCAAUCAAAUAGUGCCUAAAGCUCUCCAAAGUUCAAAAUAUGAAAUUUGCUUUCUUUGAACUUGAAUGGCUUUACAAUGCUCCAUUGCCAAAUAUCUUUAUUCUCUAUGAGAUGAAGGGUGAUACACAUGAGAGCUUUUAGGCAAUAAUCAACGUAUUACGUAUCCACUUUGACAUUAUUUGUCCAAAAUUUAAAAUGGUUGCUCAAUAUAUUAUAGUCUACAUGGUAUUGGUUUAUAUUAUAGACUAAGUGAAGAAUGGACAACAUUACCUAGGAUAGAGGCAAAAUAGCACUUCAUCCUCCUUGAUUAUGUUGUUCUCUAUCAAGCUUUAAUUUUUUUUUUUAACAAAAUCAUUAAAAUGGAUAACUUUGUUUCUCCAAUUUUCAUACAGCAUUUUCCUUAAAUUUCUCCGAUAUAAUGUCGCACUUCAAGUAUUCACAGACAAAAAGAAUGAGAGAAGAAGUGUGAUAUCCUCCAAGUAGUCUUAAAGCCUGUACAAUUACAUAUUCUCAAGGUUAGGAAACAGAAGUUAGCAGUGAGAACUUGACAUGCAGCCCUAUCCUUCCUUUCUCCACAUCCAGCUUUGCACCAGUGACCAACCAAUACCCAGGGGUGUCCUGUGGUCCCUUGCACACAUGAGAUGUGUCCACAAACCUCAAACGUUUUUGGGCCCCCAUAGGCGCUGGUGGGCCUGAGGGGAACACACCAGAGUCCACAAUGACAACUGGGCCUGGCUGCCCCUCCUUUUCUACUCCAACGAAUGGUGUACUGAUCGAUGAGAAGAAGCCUGAUUUCUGAGAGAAGCCCAAUGGGCCCUGCUCCCACCUGGACUGGCCCACAAUGCAACCAGGCACUUCAGAGUAUAGGAGCCUCAGGUGCAGCACACUCGUCGACUCAUGGGCCUUCACAUGGAGCUGAGCUCCAGUCACAAUGAAUGAAGUUUCUCCACCAUUCGUCGACCACUGAGGAUCGUACUUCACUGGCACGGUGCACACGUGCGAGAACAUCUUCCAUUGGACUGCCUCAUAGUAUCUUUCAUCUGCGAUCUCCUCCGAUCCCCGCCACAAUGGUGCUUUAUUUGACUGGGCUUCCAUGAAAGUGGGGGUGUUUGAUAAAUGUUGAAGGUGGAUGGCUAGCCUAAUAACAACACGUAAAUAGUCCAAUUAGUUCUUGACCAUAAUUACAUGCACACUCAAAUGAAACAAUAAACAAUUAAAGCAAAUUGAGCUAACCGAUCAUUUUUCUUGCCCUCAAGGUGGAGUCUCAUGCCGGUGAUAGGUUUUCUUUCGACGAUGACCUGAAAUUGUGGGUGUAAAGAGGUCGUAUGGUGACGAGAGGUUAAUGGUGAUUGUUAAAUAAAUAUUUAAGAAUUAAGGUGGUGCUACCUGAGUAGUGUUGAUAUAGAGCUUGGGACCCAUUAGAUUGAACUGUAAAGAAGGAGUUGGAGUAGAUCUAAUUGAGCUAGGACCAAGAGGGUGGUCACUGUGCAUAGGAGCCCACAACUUCUGAGAUUGGAAGUCCAAGAAGUAUUGCAAGUCAGCUAUAGGAGGUUUAUCUGCAUAUGAAGACAUAAAAUAAGGUUACAUGACUUUCAUAUUAAAAUAUUGUCUGAACGUAGUCAUGCACCGAAAGAAACAUUGGCUCAAAAGAUAAUAUUAGAUUAAGAUAGCUUCCUAAAUAUUUCCACAUCAAUACCUCUUUUUUCUUUCAUUUUGGGCAGCCAGACCUAACUUGUUUAACCUCUAUUUCAACCAGGAUGAUGUUGGGUAUCCCUCCUUACAAGGAGAUGAAGCCGUCUCAGUGUUGGUUUAGAUGGAAUGAAUGAGACCGGUAAUCAAAUUUGAUAUCUUAUAAUGUAGAAGAAAAAGGGACAGAUAUGGCUGCUAACAUAAUUCCUUCAGGUCCUCUAGGUUUGGGAGAGACUGUCUAAUGUAGAAAAGACCUUGUCGAGGACAUCAUUGCAGCCCAUGACUUUGGGAAGAUUUAUGUUUCUUCAAGUAAAGAAGAAAAUGAUGUCCUCUGGGUUUUGUGUUUCGUUAGAUCGAGGACUCUCUGAUUUAUCUUCUCUAUUUUGUUUUCCUUUUCAGUUAUAGCUUCGUUUAUGUACCCUUUGCUUUGCUCUACUUCUUUGUAAAUAAUAUCUGUUUGCAUCAAUAAAAUUGUGGGGAAGAUUCUCAUUUCCUCCAUUUUCCAACAAAAACAAAAGAGAGCUAUGUCUAAAAGGAGUAAGUCCCUUCUUUGAUUGAAAUUGAUAUUUGUUUGGUGAGAAGACCUCUUAUGUGCGAAAGACAUGAGAAAGUCUGUUGAUGUUUGGUAUCUCUUAUAUAGAAUUAUGGAGCAUUAUGAUCCAAGAAGGGUAAUCUCUAGUAUUACUUAUAGAAGAAUGUAAACAUAAGUUAAAAUUUUUUAGGGUAGGUUUGACUGGACUAGCAUCCGUGGUUUUUUUUGGAAGAAAUUUUCACCUAAAAAUUCUUGGUCUCUUGUUGUUUUGCUAUGCUAUGAUGGUGCCAUUUUUGUUUUUUAUUCUUGUUCCUACUAUUCUCAUAUAGAAGGGAGGAGAUUAUUUCUACCAUUUUAGCUCCAUGUCUUAUGUGAAUUAAUUGUAAACUUAUGUGCACUGAUGUUGCUCUCCACUACUUUUGCAUAUGGUAGUUUCAAACUCUUUUGAUCUAAAUAGCUGAAUAGAUGAACCAAAGCUACAUAGAUCAACAUUUCAGAGCAUUCAUAUAACCAAGCCUCAAAAUGUCAAACAUAUAAUAAUCCAUGACAAAUCCCUAAGACCUCCUCCAAAUUAUUUUGAACAAAUGAGGGGUUUAUUGUAGAAUCUACAAGAUCGUGAGGCUAGGAUUCCUCAGUCCUAGUUCUUCCAAAAGAGAAAAGGUAAAAAUGAAAAUUAGAAGACCAUUCGACAAAAAAGAAAGAUGUUUGUUGGUUACAAAAGAGUAAUCUUCCAUUAUUUUCAUUGACUGUAUCGAAAUCAUCAGGAGAUUGGAAAUGCAUCAAGAGAGAUGAAGCUUUAUUUUUUCUUAAUCUAAGAUAUAUCAAAUUUCUACAAAGAGAAGAUAACUUACAUCGAAGGUAGAGGUUAAUGGCGUGGGAUAGGAAGCCAGCACCACGAACACCCUUUAGGAGGGAGGUAAUGGGGACAAAGGUGAAGUUGAUCACAUCGGGCAUUGAAGGGACUGUUAGGAGCCAUUCACAAUGGCUGCUCAUGGAUGUAUCUCCUCCCCUCUUCAAGCAUAUGACUGUUAUGCCCUGCAUAAACCAAAUUAAACAUUAUUUUUUUUGCAAAUGGUUAAGGUAAAACUAAAGAAGUUAUAAUCUCAAGAAAUUUAUUGCCGGCAGGCAUUACUUGUAUAGCAUAUUAUUGAGUAACCUUACUACGUACAUCUUUGCAUGAGACUGGAUUAAUGCCUUCAACAAGCCUAGGUUGUGAGCCAAACACAUUGAAAGCCUCCGGAACCUGUUAAUAAGCCCAUUAAUAAGUCUCAUAAAAGCUUCUAUGUGAGUGUUCAUCGGGGAGAGGGAGAGUGACAAAGUCAAGGUGACCUUGAGCUUAUGCUCUUUGGAUUUAGAGCGGAGAGAAGGCAGGGUACAAAUCCCAGUGAAGAGUUGAUCUCCAAGUUUAUCCAAGUGUAGCUUGAGUUCAGAUGGAGCUAGAUUAGAAGACCCGUCUUGCUUCAGAUAAACCACAUCCUGGCCUCCGACACUUAGCCCCACUAUUAUAUGUGUCCCGUAGUUUUCAAUGAAUCUGCUUUAAAGACAAAGAGCAAAUAGCUGAUUAGUAACCAAUGGCCCUAUCAGAAUUCAACCUUGUUUUCUUUAUUUUCAGGCUUUCUUUUUAAUAUUUUUCUAACCCUUCUGAGUUUGGUUCCUUGAACAAAACUUUGAAGUCAAAGCUUGCUAGUUGGAGAGCCAACUUGGCAGUUGCUGUACUUAAUUAUUAUUUGGUGUUAAAGAUCAUGGACUAGGGCAGCUUACAAGUUUAGUGGGCACACAAAUAAUCCAUCAGGCUUCAAUAUGUUGAGAGAGUUUCAACUCUAAUCUGAUGACCAAGGGAAGAGAAUAAAGAAAACAAAAACUAAUACGUAUUUUUCCGUGAAAACCUAUUCAUUUAUGUCUAUCUUUGAUAUUGUUGUUACAAUUUUUAUUGACUCUCCCAAGCUAAUUGUUUUCACACUCAAUAACAUUGAUAACAUCUUUUCUUAUAAGAAGAAGGAAUUUUUUUAUAUGCAAUCUUAUAAAAAUAUCCAAUUACAUAUUUAUCCUACAAAGUUGCGAUUUACAUAUAUUUAUCUCUAGAUCCAUUUUUUGGCAUAUUUACCCCUAUCAGAUAUAUAUUAGACAGUGCUGUUAAACUACAACUAAAAUUGAUUGAAUUUAGAAAAUGAUAUUUUACCAUCAUAGAACAAGGUCCAAAAUUUUGAAGUUAAAAUCAUGUUGAAGAGCUGAGACAAACAAAGCAGAAACCUCCUAAAUACCAACACGGUACCCAAUAAUUGUUUAAAUUAGUGAUUUAUUUUCUAGAUACCGAAUGAAUUGAAUUCUCUCUAUUAGCUUAUUAUAUUCGAAUAGUUCACUUUCCUCUUUGAUAAACAAACAAAUUAGAUAUAUACAUCAUUUCAUUCUUUUGGGUAGCUUAUUCUAUUGUUCAAAAGCAGUGCAGAAUGUAGAUCUAUGUCAUUUAAAAGGCAAUAGUAAAUUAAAAGUUUAUCAAUAGUUUGCAUAUUCUUUUCCCUUUGAUAGGAAUGUAUAAGAUAAAUAUAUUUCAUUUUAUUUGCUUGGUGAUUUCAACCCUUCACUACCUAAAUAAAUAAAGAUAUAAAUUUAUUUCAGAGUAAUUAAAAUAUGUUAAUUUAAAUCAUUUUAAAUAGCAGAUUUUCAAACUAUUCAAAGAAAUAAAGUGAAGUAAAUUUAUUUUUAAAUUUUAUGUCAAAUAGAUAUGAAUAUGCAUAGAUAAAAAAAAGUUGUUUAAUUACUAAUCGUUAAAUAACAUGAUCCACAUUUUAUACUACAUUUCAAUAGUAAAACUAAUGCAAAGUAACCGUAAAUCAUCUAAUUUUCAGAAAAAAUAAUAAAGAUUUAAGAUACGGUGUACAAAAAUGGUGGACAUUUUUCUUUUUUUUAUGAAAGAGAAAAAAUUGACUACUCAAAUACCAUAAGCUAGCUGAUAUAAUUCAAGUCACUAAGGAUAGGUAAAAUGAAUCAUCAAUUUAUGAUCUCAACAUAUAUUGUACCAGUGGGUAGGAGGUUUAUGUUUUAGGUAGUGGUCAAUGGCUCCAUUCAACUCUUAAUAUUAUUUUCAAUUAAAUUUUGAAGCUAGAUAUAUGAGGGUAAAAAAUCAUUUCACUUUAACAAUAAUUUAACAAUGCUAUCUAAUGGUCUCUAAAAAAGAGUGAUGACAAGAAUAAAUAUGAAAAAAGAAUUGGACUUAGGGGAUAUAUAUGAAAAUUACAACUUUGUAAGGGUAAAUAUUUUUAUAGUGAUAUAAAUGAUUUUUUUAAAUAAAAAACAUAUCAAGAUAUAUGAAUCAGCACCAUAAGUCACUAAAUUUGCUAACUUCAAUUCUUUUCUCUUAUUUGCUCCUAAACCUGAUGAUUUUUCUACAUUCAUUUUUUAUUUCUAAAUGUUUGGAUUUUUUCCUUUAGUAAAGUUACUUACCAUGCAUUCAACUUGUAAGCAUGCAUAUAUUUCAUUAGUCGAAAAAUAUGAUCCAAGGCCUACCUUGGUUGACUUAAUUAUCAUAUUAGCUCCAAAUGGAGAAAGAGAGAGAAAAAAGCAGCCAACCAAGGAAAAAAUGAAAGGAAAUAACAAUUGUUUAAUUAGUAUACCUUGAGAGAGCAGCUGGGUCCCAAGAAGAAGGAACAUCUUUGAGGACAUGAUGGGAGAGGAUGAGAGGUUGGCGGACAAUACGAAGGUCAAAGAGAGAGAUGAAGUAGCCAUCCAUGGCCAAGCAUUUGGUCCUUGAGGCAUCUCGAGCCCAUGAGCUGCUGUUGAAUUCGAACACACAGUUGAACAAGCCUGAGGGGAUCUUUCCAGCCAACGAGCUCCUCUGGUUGAACAGCUCCGACAUCUGUAUGUGAAUCCAAGCUAUAAAUGCUGUCACCUUUGGUUUGAUUAAUGCCAGCUAAAGUCAUUAUUUCAAACAAUAUUCUAAUUAAAUUUCUCUGGUCUGCACCAAAUCGAAGAAAUGGUCAAGGUCCUGAAGGCAGGUCUAGCCAAUCUCGAUCUGUUAUUUCUUUUACAACACUCCUUUGAGCCCGUCAACCAAUUUGAAUAAAGAAAUUGGCCAGCUCUGUCAUUUGAUUUUCAAUUGAGUAGGUUCGGAUUCAAUUAUUGUAGAAAAAUAUGUAUAACAGAUUAUUUUUAGUUUAUAAAUAUUUGUUGACAAAUGAUCCUUGGAAAGCUUAUAAAUAUGAACCGAGGCCUUCCCCAAUGGUAAUACUUCUUUACUCAUACUAGUAAGCUCUUUGUUUUUCUUUUUUUUGAAAACAGUGGGUAAAAGACAUCACCAUUGGAUUCUAGUACUACUAAAUCAUAGCUAAAUAGCACUGGCUAUCCCCUAUUGACGUUUUUACAAAUGGCUAAAGCUUCUUGCCAGGGCUGGCCAAAUGGAAAAGACUCACAUCCUUUAAUAAACAUGAGUAAAGACCCAUAGUAACAGUACUCCAUCUAGUUAUGUAACAACAAAUCUAUGAACAGCCUCCUUGACUACGGCCUACUCUCCUUGCUUCUCCCCUCGUCUUGGCUGCUACAUGGGAACGGGUGGCCGUUCUGAAUAGAAAUAUAUGGAAGUCAACCUGAUGACUUUUUUUUGGUAAAUAACCUGAUGAUUUGAGAACCAGAUGGAUGACAUCUGUUCUCAUUCAGCAUACCAUGUUCACAUGAGGAACAAAAAGGAAAGAAAAAAAAAUAGAAUCUAUAGUAAAAACUUUCUUCUGCGAUACUUGUAACAAGAAUUUCUACGUAAUAGAAGCUUAAACUACGGUCUUCUCUCUUGCUUUUUUGCAAUAUUUUUUUUUCUUUCAAUAAAAUUUGGAGAAAGUUGCUCACUCCCUCCAUUUUAUAUAUAUAAAAAGCUGAAACUUGGGGUGGAUCAGUGCGUUAAUUUCUCCGACGUGAGUCAUGGUCGCCGUCAGUGAGGGACAUUAAUUCAUUGUUGGUGUCGCCACCAUUCUAUCUGCUGGGAAUUAUUCCACAUGGCUCCUACAUUUGGACUUUUAAUUCCUCCUGUCCUAUUUUUCGGCCGUUAAAAUCUACUUGGAUUUUAUUAAGAAAACUUGGACAGCCUGGAGGAAAAGUCCAGUCAAAUGGGGAAACUUGAGUUAUGGUCUUGAAGAUGGCUGAGGUAGGGGAGCUUGCUGUCAAAGAGAAAAGGACUGCAUCUUUCGCUAGAAAAGAGGAUUGUGCAAUAAUCGCUUUGAAAUAUGUGCAGACCGAUGGCAAAAGAGUUUGGAAUACUUGCAAUCUAAUGGUCAACUAAGAAAUCUCUUUCAGUUGGUUUGGUCCAAAUUGGAUUUCUCGAAGAUGGCUGAGGUAGGAGAGGUUGCCGGUAAUAGGAAAGGAUUAUAUGUUUGGCGCGAAAGAAGAAUUCACCUUCCUUCGCUUGAAUCCAUCAUUGGAUUGUGUAAUAAUUACUUCUAGAUUUGUGCAGACCGAUGGCAAAGAGAUUCGAAAUGCUUUGAAAGUUUUGUAAGAUGCGAUCCAAUAGUCGACACCACAAAAGAAGAUUAAUCAUUCUUUCGCACGAGGGAUACAAUCUGAACACACUGCGAAGUGCGUCACGUAGGCAUACAAUCUGAUUUUAUUCACCUCUAUUACUUCUUCCACUUAUAACUUGUAUUUUGGGUCGAAAGCUAUUGGGUAUAUUUUUUGUCCUCUUUUGCUAGUAAGUGAAAUUUGUUGCGGAGUUACAUGGCACCAUGAUGUCUUUGAAAAAAACAAAACAAAAGAUGGCACCAUAAUGGAGCAUGCAUAGUUGUAGUUGCAUCUCAUGAACAAUUCAAACAAAUGUGUUACAUCAUGGUAUAUGGCUGUUCUGGUUUUAAGAAUCGCAGCGAUUGGCUUGGUAUUUAAACAUCGAAAAGUUAAUUUGAAAAGGAAUAAGUUAAUUCGAUCUUAUCCUAUUUCGUUGAUGCAUGUUACUGUGAAAAAAAUGUGAGUAAAACAAAAGAUGGGUGUGAGCAAUUUGAAGAACAAAAUGACUGGACCUUUGUGCCAAAUACCCAUAACAUGAUGAAGAAACGUAGGUAUAGCUCUAAUUUUCCAAAUCCAUCCGACAAAAAGAGAACAUGGUAAUAUUUCACUUUAAAAAAAAAUCUAAACAAAUAAACAGGCAGAAUGUUUUCUAUCCAAGAUAGGAGUGUUGUUUCUUGGCAUUCAUAAAAUGCCAGAGAGCAAGGCAUUAGUUAUGACAUUAAACCAAACCACAGGAUCCAAAUCCAACAAACAAAAGAAAUUUUUGGCAUUCCAGCAAGAUAUCUAUCUAUCUAUCUAUCUAUCUAUCUAUCUAUCUGUAUCUAUAUAUAUCAAUCUGGUCAACGAGAAAAGCUAAUAGCUAAUAGUGAUCAAUAGUCAAAUUAAUCAAUCAGAGGAAGGUGAU